rnacentral:lncRNA from 1 species
UCCCUCAACUAUACGUUAAAAAAAAAUUUAAAUGCACCAGAUAUAUUACUGAUGCGGUAUUUUUAUAUAGGGGCAAUUACUUAUAUACUUUUAAAAAGUUCUCGACUUUCCGAUUUACUCCUCUUAGAAGGCUAAUAUUGAAAAUAUCCUUUCUACGUUCCAAUCUAUUUCUAAUAUUUAUAUUCCUAGAGUUAAAAUUAAGUCUGUUAUUUCUGUAAAAUUAUUAUUUUGCUCUUUUAAAUAUGCCCUUCUACAAUCACUGGCUUUCUUAUUUGCCCUUAAAGUCAGGGACACAAAAAGUAUUUUGACUUUUGAUCUUUUCCAAUUUACCCCUAUUCCAUCACCAAUAUUUCUUAUUUGCCCUUAAGUUAACGGCAAAAAUGGCAUUUUAAUUUUUUUUUAACUGUCGUAGAUAUUUAACUUACGUUUAACUCAAGUUAACUUAACAAGAGAUAACUGCAGGGAUAUUUUACAAUACGGUAGAACAUAUGAGUGGUAUUUUUGAAAGAAAAAAAGUAAGGAUAAAUCAGAUAUUUUCCAACGUAUGAGAAGUAUAUAAGCAAUUAUCCCUUUUAUAUAAUAGAAUUAUCUUUUUUCUAUUGCUACGUCCUAUCAUGAUUAAUAAAAAAAUAUUUUUAUUAUAUUUUUUUUAAAAUAAAAAAAUAUAAUUGAUUUGUUAUUAAUGAUAUGAAUGCAAAGGUUAUUUUUGAGUAAGAAAAUGCUUUUGGUACUCCAAAUAUUAUCCUUUCGUAACAGAAGAAGAAUAGUGUUAUCAAUAUACGUACUUUAUUGGGACCAUUUGAUCUAACCAAAGAGAAUUGUGUUGUUUAAAAAAAUAUAAACGUAAAUAGUGAAUAAUGCAGUGUUGUAAAAAUAAAAUUAUAAAGCGUUUGAUUAUUUUUUAAAAAAGUAUCUUUUAUUAUAUAAAACUGUUUGAUAAAACUUUUUAUUAAAUUAUUAUAAAGUAGUAUAUGGUGUAUUUAUAAGUAUAAAUUUAAUUUAGAGUGGUCUCAUUAGUUAUUUUAUAAUAACAAUUUAAAUUUAAAAUUAUAUUUAUAAUUUAAAUUUAAAUUCAUAUUUUGUAUUUGAAAUUCAAGAUCAAAAAUUUAAAUUUGAAUUCUAAAAUUGGAUUUAAAUUUCAGAUUCUAAUCCAAAAUAAAAGUUUAAAUCCUAAAUUAAUUUUACAUUAAUUUAAGUACAAAAAUAGAAUUUAAAUUCGAAAUUGGAACCCAUCAAAUUUAAAUUUAAAAUUCGAAUUGAAAAAAAAUAUAACUGUGAAUUUUAAAAUUUGAUUCAAAAUAUAAUUUAACUUUGAAAUUUAAAUUUAUAAAAUUUUAACCAAUCAAAAUUAACUUCCAAAAAAAUAAAUUGGAGACCAAUAUUAAAAAAAAAAAAAAAAACACUUGCAGACAUUCAGGACCAACAUGACAAUCAACCCAAAAUUUUCUGCCCAUUUUUUUUUAUUUUUUAUUUUGAUACUCAAAAUUAACUUUCCAAAAAAAAAAGAAGCUCCAUCUACGUAUAAAAAUGGCGUUCCACAUUUUGGGGAAAGCCCGUUUUGAAUAUAAUAUUUACGCCUAUAAUUCUAUCCAGAGUGUAAAAAUAACUUCAUAUUUUUAUAUUAAAAAUACUGAUAAGAUGUGUAAAAAAGAUUCUAACAUUUGAAAGAUUAGGAUAUAGAUCUUGCACAUGAAGCCUAAAUGUACAUGCUUGUACAAUCGAAAAGUAUGUUUUAUUUUUAAUGUUCAAAAAAUUGAUAAAUUUAGUGCGAAAUAUUAGCCCUUGGAUAGAGGGGGUGUAAUUACAUAAUUUUGCUUUUCAAAAUAUAAUUCUUUUGUAUAUUAAUGUGUUGGGAUCUAGAAGCGUAUGUAUUAAUCAAUCAAAAUUUUCUAUAUUAAAUCAGAGAAAUCUUUUCGUUCGAUCUGGUUCGUUCGGUUUAAGUCGGGUUGGGUUUUUCUAAAUUGUGCCUUUAGGACUGGAAUAUAGGUUUGUUGGUUAAAAAAAAAAUUAAUUUAUAUCAAAAAAAUUAAGAGGAAAUAAUAAUGAAAAUUUUAUUUUACUUUUAAAAACAUUUCAGAAGAUAAUAUUAGCUCAAUUUUCAAUCUAAAAGAAUAUGUUGGCUCACUUAAUCAAGUAAUUCGAUCAGUUCCGGUUUCAAAUUAGACAUCCGAACCGAACAUCAAAAUAAAGAUUUUAUGUUCAACCAAAAAAUCAGUCAAAUUGAAUCUUUGUUGAUUGAAUUAGGCUGGUUCAAUACAGUGUUUUUGAUUUUAACCAAAUGGAUGACCAACACAUUACUAAUACCCAAGUACAAUAUCGUGAUAAGCGAAAAAGUCUACAGUAUGACACGUACACCACAUCAUCAAUAACGAGCCAAUCAUCUCUCUUUUUGAGAAAAAAAAUACAAUAAAAUAUUUUUCUAUUAACUAUGAUGGAACGGGUGAAACUCAAGAGGGACAAUUCUAUUGGUUGGAGAUAUCACGUCAACAAUAUAAACUGUUGCAUUCUAGAAUUUUUCGUAAUAAGCUUAUAUCAGUACUCUUUUUUGAUGCGUUGGCAUCCUGAUUGGAAGAUUUUGGUACCCCUCAGCUGUAAAAAUUUUCGAAACAAACCACUCAACUUCAAUUUUCUUAAUUUAAGUUUAAACGAACUUCUAAUUUUUUUAAAAUUUGCAUUAUUCUAGUUAUUUGAGUUAAAAUUUUCUUAGAUAUUGGAUCAAUGAGUUAUUAUAGGUUAAUUUAUCUAAUUUUGUUGCUAAAUAUAAAUUAUGAUGAAAACAUUAAAAAAAAAUUAUAAAAGCAAAAGUUUAGGAGGUGUUACUAUUAUGUUUAGUUCACCCACUUCUAAUUUUACGAAAGCCUCUUCAUAAUUAUAACUCAGUUUCUACUUUUGAAUUUCCAGAUCAAUGAUUAACACCAAUAAACUUAAUUUCAAUAUGCGUCUUAUAACGGUUGACUAAAAAUGUUCAAUUGUAUUUCAAUAAAAUAUUUAAUGAGAAUUGAACUAUGAUACUUCUAAUAACAGAAGAAUAACAUUUACUACUAUCGACUUUUUAAUUCUUCGAUUCAUAAUAGUACUACCAUCAAAUAAUAAAUUCUAUACAUAGACGGCAAAUGCUAUUUCUCCAAUAUCAAUAAUUAAUAAAAAUUAUUAAAAAUUUCCCUCAAAAGAAAAAAAAAUUAUUAAAAAUUUUUAACAACACAACAAAUUGUUAACUAAGCACACAAGUUAAGUAGGAUCACAGGUGAAGAGAUUCGAACCUGAUGUUAGAUUGCGUUGGACUAAGAUUUAGGUUUAUACUAAGAACCAUUAUUAGUAGGACACGUCAAAAGGGACUUUUUUACAAAAUAACCAUAUAAAAUUUUAUAAUUUGCAAAAUAGCCCUAUUAAAUUUAAAUUUGGUAAAUUAACUCUCAAAACGCGGUAAAUCAUUCACCGCAUUUUGAAAAUAUCUAAAUUCUUUUAAAGGCGGGGAAUUAUUCACCGUCUUCUUCAUAAUUUUUUGAAAAAGUGAAAAAAUAAGGUUGUUAAAAUUAUACGUAGAUUAUACGGGAAAUAAAAAAAGUAAGAUUGUUAUGAUUGUGUGUGUGUGGAAUAUUAGAAUUUUUGUUUGAUUGUUAGAAUUGUAUGAAUAAAUUAUUAAAAUUUUUUUUAAUUUUUAGGAUUAUAUGAAUAUAUUAUUAGGAUUUUUAAAUUUUUAAAAUUAAAUGUGAUGUUUGAUUAUUACGAUUGUAUGGAUAGAUUAUUAGAAUCUUUUUGAUUGUUAGGAUUAUAUGAAUAGAUUUUAAAAUUUUCAGGUUGUUAAAAUUAUAUAUGAUUUGUUGAAAUAUUUAUGUGAUUGUUAGAAUUGUAAAAAAAAUAAUAAACAAGUGAAUCUUUAUGAAAGCGGUGAAUCAUUCACCGUCUUUAAGAGAUUAUUUUUUUUUAAUAUAAUUUUGGUAAGAUUUUUUUGCAAAUAAUAAAAUUUUAAAAGAUUAUUUUAUAAAAAAGCCCCAUCAAAAGGGUCACUUACUGCACAGUUCCUGCACUUCCAAUCAUCAUACGUAAAAAAAUAAAGGGAAAACUUCAACAACCCCCAUUGUGGUUUCAAUUUUUUUCACUUUAGUAUUCUGUGGUUUAAAAUGUAUCAAGUUAGUACCCUGUGGUUUCUUACUUUAUCACUUUACUAUCAUGUGGUUUAAAGUGUAUCAAGUUAGUACCCUGUGGUUUUGCACUUUAUCACUUUUGUAUCCUGUGGUUUUAAUUUUAUAUCAAAUCAGUAUCCUGUGAUUUUUUAAACUAUAGGGUACUAAAGUGAUAAAGUGUGAAACCACAGGGUACUAAAGUGAUAAAGUGCAAAACCACAGGGUACUAACUUGAUACACUUUAAACCACAGGGUACUAAAGUGAUAAAGUGCAAAACCACAAGGUACUAACUUGAUGCACUUUAAAUCACAGGGUACUAACUUGAUACACUUUAAACCACAGGGUACUAAAAUAAAAAAAUGUGAAACCACAUGAGGGUUUUGAAGUUUUCCCAAAAAUAAAUAAAACAAACCAACUCGCUAACCGUCUGAAAAGUUAACUCACGUAGACCCCUCCGCAUCAGUAUAGGACAUAGUUAGUUAAUUCGGAUUUGGCAUAAAUUCGGUACGGAUAUAAUUCGGAUAAAAUUCGUCUUCUACUUUUUAAAUUUAUUGAAAAAUACGGCUAAAAUACGGAUUCGGUAAUUAUUCGGAUACGUAAUUUAUACGGAUAUUAUACGUUCAUCAAUUAAAAAUUCGGGAUCAAAAAUUCGGCUAUUAAAUUAAGUUUUUUUCUCUCAAGAUUUAUGUUACCAUAAAUACUGAUAUUUUUUAAAAAUAUAAGAAUAAAUAGCUACAAAAUUAAGCUAAUUAAGUAAAAAAAAUAGCAAACUAUAUUAUAAGAGAUUAAGAUAGUCUAUAUUUAAAUAUAAAAUAUAGAAGGUUCACAUAAUAUAUUUAAUUAUUAUAAUUUAUAUUUAUAAAUAAAAUAUAUCUAAAAUAUAUUAUAUAAUAAUGUAUUUAUAUUAAAAAAUAAUAUAUAUAUUAUAAUAUAUAUUAUUAUAUAUAUAUAUAUAUAUAAUAUAACAUGGUUGAAGGUGCCGCCCCGUGCCGUACCGUGCCCCAAGAAGGGGGCACGGUUAGGGGGGGGUCUCGGACCCCCCCUGGGUGCCGCGGCACAGCCGCGUGCCGCUCGAGACAAAGCGGCACGCGGCCAUGUGCGGCGGCACUGUGCCGGUGCCGGCCUUUUUUUUUUUUUAUAGUUUUUUUGGCUUUUUUUUUUUUUGGUUUUGUCUUUUUUUUUGUUUCUCUGGAAUACAGAGCCUUCGCCGGCAUUUAUUGCUUUUGUUCACUUUUCUUUAUUUUUUUUGACAUUGUGUUGUCUUUUUGUCAACUUUUUUUUUCUUUUGGGCUGAUGCUUUUUUUUAUUUUGCCUUUUAGCUUUUCUUUUGACUUUUCUUUUUCUUGUUAAAUUAAAAUUAUUUACCCGAGCCCUCCGCUUCACCACCACCACAGACAUCCAUUUUUUCUUCGCAAAUUUUUUGUCAAAAUUUGUCGCACGCGAAGUUUUCGAUGAAUCAAGGAAAAAAAUUGAUCUCCUAAACAAAUUUUGAUUAGAUAUUUUUAAAGAAUAAAAAAAAUAUGGAUGUAAUUGCGGUACUAUUCUCGUUGUUCUAGUUAUUAUAUACUUCCUAAUCGAAUCAAUAUAUAAGAUUUGAAACGUUUUUCGAAAAAAAUAAAAUUUUCUAUCAUUUUAUCUGUUAUAAUUUUUUAAAUUACAAAAAAAUUAAAAACAAAAGAAUUUUCAAUUGUUACAGCAAGUAUAGUUGUACUUUUCAAAUAAAAAAAAAUAAAAACAAAAGAAUUUUAAUUUAUAUUCUACAUCAGGUAUAGUUGUACUUUAUAUACAAAAUGCUUACAUGCAUGUUAAUUGAUGAGUAUAAUAAGCUAUACAUAGCAAAAAUUAAUAAUAACUUGUCUAAAUCUUUCAAAAUAACAUUAUAAAAGCUUACUGGAACCAAAAAAACUUAAAUAAAUUCGUGCCAAAGCGUGCCAGUAGGAGGUCGUGCGUAUCUGUCGGCACGCAAGCGUGCCACGUGUCGGCACGCAAGCGUGCCCGUGCCGUACCGUGCCAAAGACGUAGCGGCACGCCCCCGUGCCACGGCACUUUAAACCUUAUAUAUAUAUAGUCCGACUAUGAUGCUUGUAAAAGCUUGUAAAUUUUUUACCGUUAGAUCGACGCCUUUGAUCAUUUUUAUCCGUUAGAUUAUACUAUUCAACCAACUACCCACUCAACCCUAGGAGGCCCACAUCAUCCUAACUGCACAUCUCUUAAUCCAAGGGCCAAAAACUUAUAAGUACCAAUGAGUUGAUACUUUUAAAAGCAUGGGAGCUAAAUUCUCUCUCUCUCUCUCUCUCUCUCUCUAUAUAUACCCGAAGUGGAGCACCUGGCGGACUCUCACCUGGCGAGAGAGAAAAACUAUAUAUAUAUAUNUUUUCCACUUAAAUGAAGCAGAAAACGAAGACUAAUUUGUCCAUGAGAUGACGCCCUCGGGCCAGAUGUUAUCCACCGCCGCGGCCCUCUUGCUCCCGGCGACGGCCAGGGUGGCGGAGGAGGAGGAUUACGACACACGGACGACUUCAGCAAAGCCGCGAUCCGCGAGUCAGUGACUGCCAGCCCCCUUUUUUUGAGGCGAAUCACUCGCGAAUCGCAAAUCAUUCGCGAAUAAUUAUUUUUACAAAAAAAAUGCAUUUUUUUUUCCAAUUUUUCCGAAAAAUACUGAUGCGGCCGUUUAAUUUGCUUUUUCAAAAAUUUGCGAAUUAUUCACGAAUUAACUAACUAUAUAUAGGACCCGGAUUGUGACAAAACUGAAGAGAAAAAGAGUGGGCAUUUUAGUUUCAGGAAUCACAAAUGAAUAUCCCUACGAUAUAAGAUGUAAGUUUGAGAAUGUAAAACUCGUCUACACGAGUACGAGAGAACGCAUAACUAUACUUCUUGAAUAUAAAUAUAAGACAUCCAGAUUAAAGCGAGUUUCGCAGAGUCAUGACAACACUGUGCAGAUAAACUGUGCUGCGUAGCUCCAAGAAGUAAAAAAUCAUAAUACUGGAAAAUGGAAGACACGAUGUUUGGAUACUCGCAAUCCUUCAAGGAUGACGAGCUGUUUAAUGAGCUAAUCAUCUCGAACAAUAAAUGGAAUCCAUCUCUCUGCAGUGCGUGCUCGGCCCAUACAAAUAUUUAACCAUCUUGGGCUAGUAAGAUACCGCCUUUCCUUUCCUGCAACAAGUAUCACAGCAAACUUAAGAGAAGAGCUCACCAGUAUGGUACAAAGGUUAAAGCCAGAACGAGCCAGAACUCCGCAAAUUGGAAGAUUGAUCAAUUUCAUUACAAUGAUUGAUAACAAGAUCAAAUCAAAUUAGAAGGGUGUUUAGAAGAAGAGACCGCUCGAAAUAUGUAUGUUAUAUGAUCGUCAAGUUAUACUCUGGGAUAGGAAUUGUGCAUAAUCAGUACUAAAUAGUACAAAAAUUAAGUAAAUUGCCCGAGACACAGGAUUACAGGGAAAAGGUGAAAAGCAGUACAGAACGCGAGCAAAUAAGUUGCAAAAACAAAUCAUUAAAUAUUAUUUUGAAAAAUGAAAAAAAAGAUGACAGAAAUGCAGCAUUAAUGAUAAUUGAUUUCCAUUGAGAAGAUGCCUUAGGAAAGAAAUAGCACUUUGAUUAAUAGUAAAUUUGCAUGAAACAGUUGAAUGUAAAAGCAAAUUCAUAUCAAUAUGGCAGAUCCAUGUAGUAGGACUAUUAGGCUUCAGUUGAGUGUACCUGAGCCAUCUUGCGGUCCUUGUUCAACUUCAAAGUCCGUCCUUUACUAGAGAUCUUACUAGAGAUCCUCUGAAAAGAGUGAAACAAACAGAGUUAAACACAAAACAGACACAAUAACAGAAGACAAGUGAUAGAUGGUCUCGAAGGAUCAUAACAGAAGCUGAGGUAAGUUGUUUCCGAAAGGACAAUAAUCAGACAUCAAGUACACUCCGCUAGCUCUAUAACAGUGUAUAAUACCACCGCUACAUAUCAAAAAGAAGUUUAACCGCAUUAGGUACUCGUAAACUAGUGCCACUGACAUGGGGUCAGCCCUUACAUCAGCCUCUUUUACUUAUCGAGGGUAUGAUACAUAUCACCAUGAAUAAGAAUAUAUCCAUAUUGGUUCUUUUGCGAAUUUGAUUACUAACAUUUAAGAUUGACAGGAGAGGUAUGAUUAGUGAAUUCUCAAAAUAUUGUUUUGAUAUCACGGCUUUUCAAAAUAGGUAGUAAAUCGUCAAUGGAUAUUUAAGACACAAAUUAAACCAAAAUGAGCUGGGAAUUUAAAUGCUAUUCUUAGAUCAAUAAAGAAUAAGUAAAAGGUAGAGAACUAGGGUAAAGGCAAUGAUAUUGUAUCCUAAAUAUCUUGUAACCGUACUUUCUACCAAAAAUCAACAAUCAUGAACAUCGAUACAAACCUUUAUGCAUGCUAGUACAGACAAAUACUAGCAAAAUAUCAACCGUCCUAUUUUAGUUUUGAAAACAAAAACUAUAUAUACAGAGGGAAAGAAAGAAAACUAGGAUAGAAAAUAAUUUCCCAGUUGAUUUCUCUCUCAUUCCUUUGCUACAGUGAUCGUAAAUCUGAUGAUGAAAAAAACACAAAAGGCAUGAAGGACGAUCCCGGGUCAUCACUGAGGAAAAAGAAGAAAAAUUCUGCAACAAGCACAAGUAACUAACCUUCUGUUGAGUGGACAGACUUUCUGUUAUAUCUUGACCAAAGUCAAAAAUAUCAUGAAGUAGCUCAUUUUCCUGUACAACCAAAUAAAGUUGUCAAAAGUUCCUAGAUGAAAAAUCUAAUGUCAUUGAUCAAAUCAGCUUCUCAUGAAGAAAACUACGAAAUCAAACUAAAGGAUUAGAUUUUUUUUUAACCUGAGCAUGCUUGAGAAAUCCUCUCCCAAGAAACCGCUUCAGAAAGUUCAACUGGAGAUGAACCAAUAAGGAAUUAGAGAAUGUUUGUGAGCUGCAAUGUUUGUCAGCUGCAACCACAGUAGUAGAGAUAGAUAACUAAAGAAACUAAUUUUAUACCUGUAUCAACUCGGUCCAGGACGAAACCCUUAAAACACCAUGCUUGCUUGAUAUUUUAACUGAUGCUUCCGGGCUCUCACCACUCUGUAUGAGAUAAAAGUGCUAAGAGCUAAUGAAAAUCAAAUUCUGCUUAAAUACAUUGGAGAAAUUCAGAAAUCAACCUUUAUGAAGUCCCAAAUUUUUUGAAACAGGUCUCUUUGAUCAUUAAGGUUUUUCUUGUCAGUGCCCUUGCCUCCAGCCUCCAUAGAAAGAUUAUUCGCUCGAUCUGCAAUUUUUGCCUUCAUAGAUUGCAUAUAUAAGAAAUCUCGACGCUUGGAAUCUCCAAUAUCAAGGUUGUCGGUGUCACUCUCAUCAUUGGAGUACACAUUUAGUAUCCCUAUCUCAAAACAUACAGCUAUAGCUUCACCAGCUGCCAUUCGGACAGCACGGUCUUCUGCGUCCAGUAGGGUGGAGAGGAACCAUACCGGCCUAAAGAAGAUAGCCAUAAUAUGUAAAUUGCUAAAAUACUGUUUAGAAUGACAACAGCAACAAUGAUACUAACAGAAAAUGCAAAUAUGGAGAGAUAUGCAUAUAUUUAUCUAUUCACAUAUAUCCCAGCCAAUCUGAAUUUUCAUGUACGUCUUUCUAAAAAAUAGCUGUUACAUAUACAUCCUUGUAAUUGCAAACAGUCUCUUUUAAGAAAUAUUUCUUCAAAAGCAAAUUGCCCCCAUUAGUUGGAUAAGUGGCCAAGUUAAACAAAUGGCAUUUUUGUAAGAAGCUGAACUUUAGAUUAUAGAUGAAAAUUCAGCUUUUAUAGGAGUUAGUAUACAUACACAUACAAACGUAUGUACACUACACACAUAGUACAUGCAUAUACACAACACAAGAAUACACACACAUCAAGCAAAUUUAAAAUAAAGCAAAUGCACACUUACUCCUUCCAUGUAUCAGGAUUGAUUCUCCAAGCACUGAUAGUUGUCACAAGAAAUGACCAUGCAGAGAGGGCAGCUGCCAAUACUGCAGGCGGCCUUUUGGGAGCUCCAACCUAAAGGUUGAAGACCAGAAAAGAAAAACAUUAUAUAAUUAUUAGUUGCAACCACCCACGAGGUAAAAUAACAGUUGAAACAAAGACAUGAAUCAUAGUUGAAUAUAAGUACAUGAAACAAAUUUUACGUACUUUAGAAGCUGGUUUGGGAUGAAUCACUUCCCAUAUGGCCUUCAAGGAAGUCUCAGUUUCAGCCAGAUCAAUGGCUCCAACGAAAGUAACAACAGCUAAACAAUCUAGUACCUACAAUCAGUUGAAAAAAAGUUAGCAAUCUAGUACACCUACCAUGAGUACAACAAAAUCAAGCUAUAGAAAAUAAUGGAGCAGUAAACAUAUACAUCUACGACUUACAGAUGCCAUUUUGGAUGCAUCAGAUCCAGAAAGAAGCACCUUAGAAAGGUGUGGAAGUGAUUCUUCCAUUAUUUCAUGUGAGCUGUUUCCGCUGCCGACAGUAAUGGCUAGCAACCCUUCAGAUAGGAAAUACACAAUUAAGGAUAAGACAGAAUGUGUAAAGCCAAAACAAUACCAAGAAAAGAAAAGAAGACAAACCAAUAGCACGAGAAGCUAAACAGGCCUCCUUUGUGGAACCUUUUUUUAUUGAAUUAAGGAAUUGGUGUAAUAGUGUAAUACACCUGCAGCAAUCAUAAAGCAAAGAGUUAGAAAACAACAAACUAGAUAGAUUAUCGUGCUUAGUAAUGUGGCAUGAUAGAUAGUCAAACAACAAUAACCCACUUGUUCUCCACAAAUGCGGAAAGCAUAUUACUUUCAAAAGCAUUGACAAGCCCUGACAAAGCCGUUUCUCGCGUCGAUCCCCUUUACAAAUAAGAAGCAAGAUUUGUAUUAAUCAGUUCCAGUACGUCAAAGAUAUAUAAUGAGACAUACAAGCCAUGACUUCCAGAAAAGAAAAUGGAUGCCAGCAUUAUAAGAAUAUCCUUAGAAAACAGCAUCCUCUGUGUCAAAAGACAAUGAUACAAUUCUAGAUUUUGCAGCUAAGAUAAUUAUGAAAAGACAUCUUAAUGGCAGUCAAGGGGAAAAAAACAAACAAAUAGACUAUGCAAGGCAUUUGAAAACAAAUCAAUUAUAAAUCCUGAUAUUUAAUUCAUUUUAGAAUGGAUAUAUUUUUUCCUAGGUUCAUAAAACACCUACAGCAAUAUGCAGACAGUUAGGAAACAAAUUCACCAAAAUUCUAGAUGUAAAACUUGUCUUCUUUUACAGAACUAUAGAAAAAUUAAACUAAAAGCUUAAAAGAAUAGCUAUGGGCCCUAACAGAGCCAAUACACCUCUGAUUGCUCCACAGCUACAGGCAACCAAAGCAGGAAGAAAAGGCCAAAUUUCAAUAUAAAUAUCUAUCAGACCUUAAUGUCUAUCAGACCUUAAUGAAGUGUUUUGUUUGAACCACAGAGAUCAGAACAGCAACACGAAUCCGAAAAAUGGCUAAAAAAAACCUAUUUCAUGGAGCACAAGCCCUACAAAGAAGGUUGCAACAACCUAUCCUUUGUUCAAGGGUUUUGGGAAGCUUAUUGUAUUCCGUACUAAUGAAAGAUAAAAAGCCACCAACAACAUUCCUGCAACUAUGAUGUUCCUUUUAUUCUUCUUUCUUCAGCUAUUAUAAUUUGUUGACAAAAAGCCUAAAAGAUUAUCCAGCUGCUACAAUUACUCUCUUUACUGCUACAAGACUUCAACACUCGAUUAGUGAUCUACAUUUGUUGCUAAUUUACUCAAACAGCGAAUACUUUACAACAAGCAAGCCACAUCUAUUUCUUCCUGUCCUAAUAUCAUAAUUUCUCAUAUAAGAUUAUGCAAAAUAUUCCUGUUACCAAAAUAAUAGAACAAUAAGAUAAAUAAUUUGCUGCUUUAGUUGGGGAAUACUUGCGAACACAAAACCUAACAUGCUGCGUGGUAUUCACACAAGAACUCCCAUAAAAUGAAAGAAAUAAAGAUGCAACCGAGGCAAUUGAGAGCGCCACAAGAUCAAAGAAAUAUCUGAGCACCUCUUCUCGUAGAGAGCAUCGAUGAACUUGUCUAGAGCGUAAUCCUGCGAGUUUAAGACCUCGGUGUCGUGCGCCACCGUGACCUCCGAGAACGCCGUCGAAGCAGAGCUCACGCUUUCAGUAUCACUGCUAUCAAACUGAUCGGCAGCACCCUUGCGUCUGUUACCUGCACAAUAAAUACCUCAAAUCACAACCCCCUCCUCCUAUACCUCCAAAUAACCAUGCUCAAAGUAACAAUAACAUAACAAUAACGAUCACGAUGAUGAUGACGACGAUAGCAAGGAAUCCAAAGUAAAAAAUCUGCAAACCUAACCAAAAUUUACGGGAAAAAAAAAAGGGGAUUUGACCCACAAAAAACCAAAGAAAAAAAGAUCAUUUUUUCCGAAUCCGAAUCGGUCGUAGGGAACAACAACUUACUCCUACCCAUGGCGAGAGGUGCGCGAAGGGGGCUCGAUCGAAUCAGGACCUAGGGCGAUGAAUCCGAAACAACACGGCGGAGCUACAGAGGGAAAGAGCGGCGGCGGCGGCAGCGGUGCGGAUCGCGGCGGGGCUCACGGCGAUGAAUCGAUCGGAGAAGCUCAAAGCCAUGUGAGGGUGAGAGGAGAUGAGAUUUGAGGAAGCGAAGGUGAAUUAGGGAUUUGAGGAGGAGGAGCCGAGCGAGGAGAGAGAGAGAGAGAGAGAGGUGAAGAAACGAGAGGUAGGGAUUCGGACGAAACUCGCUUUAAUGAAGCGGCGACGACAAAAAAAUAAUAAUAAUAAUAAUAAUAAAUAAUUAUUAAGCAUUAGUAAAAUAGAAAGAGAUGUACCAACACCCCCUAAACUAUCGAUAAUUUUGACGUAGACCCAUAUUUUAUAUAUAUAUAUAUAUAUAUAUAUAUAUAUAUAUAUAUAUAUUUUCUUUAUAAACAUCCUACGUCAGAUUUAAUAAUUUUACUACUUGUUAUUAGAUAUUAUAUAUUUUAAUUUUAUGGAAUCACCGACAUAAACUUCAUGAAAUUUUUUAUUGAACUAAAAAAAAUCAAGGUACCAAUAUCAAACGUACGCAUAGUUGAUGGGUCCAGUUACAAUUUUACAAAAAAAAAGAAAAGAAUUUGUAAACCCUAAUCAGAGUAGAAGACGAUGAGAAUUCUAGGUAGGUUAUUGUGCGGAUAGUGUCGCAUGCGGAUUCUUAGAUGAACGGCUGAGAUUUCCAAUAGGCCGUGGAUCACGCGCCACGUGCGGAUCCGCAUGCGGUCGUUGUGUUUAUAUGGGUUUAACCCGAAUUGUGUAGAUCGAACCCGUGACAUAUAACCAUUACACGUAACCACAUUUGGUUUCUUUUAAUUUAUAUUUUUUGAGCGCAUUGAAUUUAUGGCGAACGCGUAAAGUGUCAAGAGGUGGGUGGAUUGUGGUGGGAGAAGAAAUAAGUAAAAUAUAAAAUUAUUUAAAUAAAAUUAUAAAGUAGGAAAAAAUAGGAAAAUUUUAAUUUAAUUAUAUAAACUAUUUUAAUUUAAUUAUAUAAUUUUUUAAUUUAAUUAAUUUAAGUAAUUUGAUGGCUUUUCCAAUACAAAGUUUAAACGAAUCCAACUAAAUAAUAAAUGAUGACUUGUUUAAAAAUAUUAUUUUGGAAGAAAACAAAAGUUGUUUUCAAAUUUUCUUUUUUAUUUGGUUGCCAAAUAAACAAUUUGCAGAAAAGGAUUGUAGUUUAUUUUGCUGUUUAAUUCUACAUCUUUUGACAAAUAAUAUACAGAAAUAUUAUUUAGAAAAUUAAAAAAAAUGAGACCCUAUCUUUCAUUCAAUUAGGAGAGAGGAUUUGGCCUAUUAUAUCAGUUUUUAGUGAAAAUGGUAGGCCAAAUCAAGUUUUUUCGAGUUUAUUAUUUUCUAAAACGAAUAAACCAAACAUAUUACUCUAAACUGAAUACUAACCAAAUCGAUUUUUUUUUGUUUUGUUUAGUCGAUUUGGUCAGUUUGGAUUAAGAUUUGUUGGUUUAAGAAAUUAAAACUCUUUAUAUUCAAAUUUAAUUUAUAUUUAAAAGAUUUACAAACAACAAAUAGCAAAAAUUUUCUUUGACUAGAUAAAAAAUAAUAAUAAUUUUACUUUCUAAAAUUUUUUCUAAGAUAACAUGUAGUUUAUCAUCGGCCUAGAUAUUCAACUCGAACAUUCAGUAUUGAUGCACAUCUAUUGUUAAUAGAUAAAAUAGAGUUAGAAUAAAAAAUAUAUAAAAACAUACUUCUACAUUUUAUAAUGGGAGAAAAAAAAAUAUACUGUAACUGACUCUUUGCAGUAAAUUUUUUCACUGUACAUAAUGCAGCCUCCUGUAAUUUCGAAUGGAACUUUAGUCCUGAAAAGACUAAGAUCUACUCACUUAUCAUAUUAAUAUUUUUAAUACUCGAAAUUUAAAAAAUAUUUAUAAAUUUUUUAAUAGGAAGAAGGUAAGAGUACACUUUUAUAUGGAAGUACAAGUUGUAUGUUUUAGGGCGAUUACUUAUAUAUUCCUGAAAAGUUCUCGACUUUCUGAUUUAUCCCUCUUAGAAGACUAAUAUUGAAAAUAUUUUUUUUAUGUUCCAAUUAUUUCAAAUAUACUCCUAAAGUUAAAUUUCGUUAAUAAACUGUUAGUAAUAUUAUCUGUAUAAAAUUACUAUUUUGCUCUUUCAAAUAUAUCCUUCCAUCAUCACCGACUUUUCUUAUUUGCCCUUAAGUUAGGAAAACAAAAAGUAUUUUAAUUUUUUGUCUUUUCAAAUAUAUUCUUCUACCAUCACCAAUAUUUUUUAUUUGUCCUUAAGUUAAGGGCAAAAGAGUCAUUUUGAUUUUUUUUUAACUCUAAUAGAUAUUUAACUCACGUUUAACCCAAGUUAAGUUAACUGCAGGAGUAUUUUGAAAUAACGGGAAGAUAUGAGGGGUAUAUUGAAAAAAAAAAAGAUAGAUGAGGUAUUUCUGAAAUUUUGAGGAACAUAUAGCCAAUUAUUCCAAUGUUUUAUUACGAGUAGGCCCCAUAAUUUUCUAUUUUUGUAACGUAGUCCUUAACGAACGUUGGAUCAUUUUGACCACUUCCCACAUGGCAAUGACCCGGCAAUGACACAUGCUGCAGGUAGAAUUUUCCUAGUGCAUUAAAUUUCUAUGCAAAUUGGCGAAAUUAGACGAAUUUGCAUAAAAAAUUUAAAAGUUUUAAAUUUUUAUAAAACUGAAUCAUUUUUUUCGAUUUUACAGAUUCGGUUCAAAUUUUUAAUAAACUGACCAAAAUAUACUUAUACAUUUUUCUCUCUUUUUAUUUCUUCUCGCGUUUUUUUUUUUUUCGCCGAAGAAGACGACAGAGACGAAGGCAGAAACGGUCCCCAUUGUCUCUGCACCUCACGUCCUCACCCUCGUCCAUGCACCCCUAGCCCUACUCGCCUCCGGCCACCGCAGCCGAUGAUAAAGAGAAAGUAUUUCCGAAAUGUUUAUUGGAAUUGUUUCUUAGGAAAUAAGUGAUAUUUACUGAAUAUAAUAAUAGUAGCUAAAUUAAGCUGAAGUUUUAACAAAUAGAUAAGUAUUUUAUAUUAUUUAAUAUGAUACCUAUUAAAAUAAUAUGCUUUGAAUUUGAGUUUUACUGUAUGUUUAUUUUGGUGUAAGUGGAGUGAUGGAACUCGAGUUCUAUCACUUCCGUUAUAUGUUUUGGUGUAAGUGAAAAAUAUAAUAUUGUAACUUAAGUUAUUGUAACUUAAGUUACGUUAGACCUCUACUUCACCUACUCUCAACUUCCUUCUCUAAAGUGCCGAACUCGACUUCCACCACACUCAACCUCUUCUAAAAUAUUUAUUAAACAAUAAAAUCUAAACUCUACUCCCCUUAUAAUAUAUUAGAAUUACCUUAUUUUUAAAUAAUAAUAAUAAAAUUAAUUAUAUAAUAAGUUAAAAUUUUAUAGCGGUAAAUUUACUAUUAUAUUUAGGAGAUAAUGGGAUCCACUUACUUACAUCAAAACAAACAACGGAACUCACAAAACUAAUUUCACCAGCACAAAGUUACAUCAAAACAAGCAGAAGAAAUAAUUGAAUUUAACUUUCAGACUAUACGAGUUACGUCAAAACAAACAACAAAAAAAUAAUCACACUUCAGGAAUCAAACACCACUGCACUUGACUUACGUUGGAUCUACAGAUUGGUCAAUCCAAACGGACCUAAGCUCCUUACUUCAUGUAAUUUCUACUCAUCUAUUUAUUCAGUUUUUGAGAUUUAUCAACUAAUAAAGAAUAUUUAAUAAAUAAAUUUUAAAAAUAAUAUUCUGUAAUAACUUAAAACUAGUAUUUUUAAAGACAACUAAUUAUUAAUAUUAUUUAAUAAUUUGUAUAUAAUUUUUUACCAAACAGUGCAUCAUUUCAUUUAUUUUUUAUCGGGAAAAAUAGAGGUCAAACUAGAAUUAAAAAAAGGAGCCCUUCAUAUUUGACAAAGAUUCAUUUAGUACAGUGCAUUCAUGAAGCACCUUUUCUAUUAUUAAAUAAAUGAGGGUGGGGCAAACUCAAAAAAAGAAAAUAAGAAGUGUUUAGCUUCAAGGAGUACUCUUUAAUAAAGUCUCAGUUAUGGGCUUCCAUGAAAAAGUGUCCUUCUUAGCGUCUUCUCAUCAACUCUAGAAGGAACCGUUGUAGAAUAUUCUCAUUUAUUCGAGAAGAAUAUAUGCAGAAUAUUCUUUGUUCUUGUAAUAAUAAUCCUUAACAUAAAAAUUACCACCGAGUGCCUUACACUAUUUUUGCCUUAAAAAAAACUAUAAAAACUAAGAUUUUUGGGUCUAAUUUGAGUCGCCGUGUUAAGAUUUGGUUAGAUUUGGAUUCAUAAUAUUCAAUAAAAUUUAUUCGGAAAGUUGGAUUUAAAUGGUAAUAUUUGCCAAGUUCACAAUGGGUGGUAAAAAUUUGUGAACAUAAAUUGCUUCGAAAUAUAUGUUAUCAACGAAUUAUUAAAUAAGCUAAGCAACUUCAAUUUGACUCGAAAUUAAAUGAGCUGGUUUGGGCUUGGCUCAUUUAACGAAGAAGUUGAGUUCGAGCCUCGCUUAGCUCGUUCGUGUCUGACUCAAGUUGUAUCCCUAGUCGACACUAAAACUCCAUAUAUUAAAUACCAUAAUUUUAGUUAUAUUUUAUUUUAUUUUUUCUAGAGCAAAUAAUAGCUUUUUAACGCAAUCGAGCGCCGGUUAACAAUGUUAAUAUAUAAGAAUAUGCGUCUCUAUUUCUGAACUUAUGUGAUCUUUACAAUUUACUAUAUUUUACAAAGCAAAUAAAAUAAUUUUUAUCGUAUUUUAUCACUGCACGUAAUGCUUCUCUAUCAGCAAUCCUCAUAUCGAUGCCGUAGAAUUUGAGAGAAACAUAAUUACAAAGCCCAGCCCAACAAGACGAGGCUUGUUUGUUAGACAAAUGGGCUAGGCCCAGUAAGAUAUGGGCCGGCCCGUAAUCAACUGCAUCCCAUUGAAGAAUUAUUCUAAAGGGGGAGUUUGGUUCCUCGGAAAAUUCUGAAAAAUUAUUUUUUCUAAAAAAAAGGUUUUCUAUCAAAAACAACAUUUUUCGUAAUUUUUAUCUUCUCUAUAAAAUCUAGAAAAAAAAAAUUUUCAAAAAAAAUAUUUUUUUUUGAAAAAUAAAAUAGAUUUUUCUUGAAUAUUCUGGAUAACCAAACACCCCCCUGAGAGCUCGCUUUCGGUUGCACUAACGUUUUAUCAAUACAUAUGUGUAUAUUUUUUUUAUCUCAGCUGCGCACAUUGAGUACAAUAAUAGAUAGAUUUAUCUAUUUUGUUGCUGUUGGUUAGCUCGUAAAUUUAUCCUCUUUCUAUUAAGAACAAAAGAGGAAAAAGGAAAAAAUAAAGUAGUAACAUUCAUAUUUAUCUCGCCGAACGAAAUCUACAAAUAUAUAGAUUGCAAACAAUAUAAUAGUAGCAAGCAGAUUUACAAAAGGGUUAAAUAUAUCUCGUUAAAAUCCGUUAGAAAAAUUUAGUUAACCAUGAGUUAAAUACUUUAACUCUAGUAAUUUUUUGAUAUUUUUACCCUUUUAUAUUAUACUGUUAUUACGCCUUUUGGAGGAAUAUAUUUGUGAUGGCAAAAUUGAAAAUAUAAACAGUUUUCUAAUAGUAACAAAUUAUAUGGAUAAAUUUAAAAGUAUCAAAACUUUUAAAAAAUAAUAUAUGAAAAUUGAAUUUCGUAUGAAUAUAGUUGUUAUUCACUAUAUUUGCUGGAAUUCGUGUGAAAUUAACUCUUAAUAAAAGAAUUUCCUUUCAAAAAAAGAAGAAGCCUAGUAGCAGUAGCUUCCCAUAGGUCUUAUAUAAAUUAAAAGAUGUUUUUUUCCUUUUUGAUAACCUCCACAUUUACACACACACACACACACACACACACACACACACAGAGAAACUUAAAUAUUCAACCUUAAAACUAGUUAUUGUGCAUCUUACUGCUAGACUACUAAUUAUAAUCUUGAACCAUGAUUAUCAUAAAAUUAUAAAAAAUUAAGCUUUUCAAGCAAAUAUAUAACACAAUAUUAUACCAAAAGUUGCUCAUUUAGUCUUUAGACAAGGAAGUACACAAACUUACUCAUAGCCAUCAUCAUCAUCAUUUAAUAAAUUAGAAGCAAAAAGACAUGAUAACUUAAAUGUCUCUACUAGAGUUUUCCACACCAUGCUCUUUCCCAAGGAGAGGCAAUUGAGGGACCCAAUGACAUGACAACCCUUUAGCCUUAGGCCCUUGGAUGUUAGAAUGUCUAUUAUAUGUUACUAGUGAAGGCACUCGCGCAUUACCGCGGAUAAAUUUUGUAUAAAUAAAUAAAUAAAUAAAAUUGUCGAAAAAAAUUUAGAUAUUAAACUCCACUCCAUGCCUAAAUUUUUAUGAAUAAUAUAAAAAAGAAUGAGUUGUCCCUAUAUCGGAAAUAAAGAUAUUUUAGUUAUAUUUUUAGUUUAGUAAUAAUGUAUAUAGUGUAGGAAUACACGCGAUACGGCGGAUAAAAAUUAAAAACUUAGAGAGUUCUUACUUUUUUUCGAGAAAUGAGUGAUCGAGGAUAGGAGUGGGGGUCGUAUAAGAGUUCGAAAUUGUUGCAAAUGGGCGCGAUCACACAUCCUCCUUGAACGCGGCGCCCCCGUCCACGGCCUUGAGCGCCGCGCACAUCUCGUCAAGGGCCUCGCGGAUCAUCCGCUCGAACCGCGCGCGCACGGACGUGGCAGUAGCGAGGUCCGCCAUACGGAGGAAGGUCUCCAGCCGCUCCUCCUCCGAGGUCUCCUUCUAGAUGGCCACCGCCGUGUGGACGGCGGCGGGGCCGGCGGAGAGGAGGCGCCACCGAUCGGAGGGGCGGUGGCGAGGGAGGGUGCGGAGGGAGAGGAAAGGUUGGGAUUUUAGGAUUUAGGAUUUAGAGAAGCUAUAUUUACUACCACAUAUUAAUUUGUUAUCUAAAGUAUAGUAUUUAUUUAAUUAAUUAGGAAAGAAAAACAUAUGCAUGUAAUAUAUAGCUAUCAUUAGCAACAUUAAAUUAAAUAUAAUAAGAUAGUAAAAAUAUAAAUAUAUAAAACUGAAGCAAUUAUUCUUGGGCAAUAAUUAGACAGUUUUUUUUCUUUAUAAUUAAUGUCUUAAAUAUUUCACUAUUAAAAAAUUUAAAGGAAAUAUAAAUAAAAUUAAAGAGUAAUUAAGAGGUGAGUAUUAAUGGAGUUAUAACUAUUAAGAACAUUAAAUAUAAAAAUAAAAAAGAAUGAACCACCAUUAAAAAAUAUAAAAAAUUUAAAAAAUUAAAAAAAAGGAGGGCUUGCCAUGUCAUCAAUUUUAUUGGAAAUUUAUAUAGAGUUAUAGAAGAUUAUAGAUAUGUCACUACAUUAUUACCAAUCAGUCAAUAAUAUAAUAACUCUUUAGCCUAUAAUCUUUGAAUAUAAAAAUUAUUUAUUAGAUGGCAGUGAGACUAUAUUAUUUGUAAUCAACCAAUCAUAUUUUUUUUAAAAAUAAAAAUAUAAUAAAAAUAUUUUUCAAAAAAUUAUGAUAAAAUAGGUAAAUUUUAAGAAUAUAUUUUGAUUAGCUGGAAACACUACGUCAGCAAUUGUGACUGUUGUUUCUUUGUGUGCCAACAUUCAAGUAGGUGAUGGGUAGGCGUGUCAAUGAGCCGAACACGAGCGAGCUGGGAUUAGUUCGUGUUCGGCUUCUUUCAUAAACGAGCCGUAGACACGAGCCGGCUCGUUAAAGCAUCGAGCCGAGAAAUUCGUCUCGUAUUCCGCUCAUUUAUUAACGAGCCGAACAGGAGCCGAAUACGAGCUGACUUAUGAAUAAAAAUUUAAAAGGAUUAAAAAGGAUAUAUAUAUAGAAAAAAAAUUUAUAAGAUUUUACCUGUUAUAUUUUGAUCUAAUAAUUUAAAAUUUUAUAUAUAAAUGAAUUAUUUUAUAAUUGAGUUGGGCUUUAUAUUUAGAUUGGGCUAAAAAUCAAAUAAUAAAAAUUUAUAUUAUAUACAUAUAUAAUUAUUAGUUUAUAUAUAUAAAUAUAAAAUAUAUGUAUUCGAGCUGUUUUCCAGUUGAAUACGAGCGAGCUGACCACAGCUCAUGCAUGUUCGACUCGUUUAUUAAACGAGCUAAAAAUUUCAGCUCGUGUUUGACUCGUUUACUAAACGAACGAUUUGAUCACGAGCUCAUUUCGAGCUGAACUCGAACUAGCUCGCGAACGGCGAGCUGGAUUAUGAUCGCCUAGUGGUGGGUGCUAGUGGACUAGGGAAACAUGAGAGCUUGUGGGCUUUGGCUCUGCCCAUCUCCACAUGGUUUGUCAAAUUAGCAAUGCUUAUAAAAAUGUUGGAAUUAAUAUACGUCAAUGAGUCAGCUUUGUCACUUAGAGCACGUUUUGUUUAUGGUUGAAGUAAAAAUAAAAAAUAAAAUUAGAUUAUAUUCGAAUGAUAAAUGGAAUGAUGACUCACUAAAAAAAAUAAUUGGUUUAUUAUUGAAAUAAAAAUCAGAAUGGAUAUAUAAAAGAGUGAAUUUGGUUAAAGAAGAGGAAAGGAAAAUGUUUGUGAAAGAGUGCUUUGAAUGAUUUACUCUAAAAUGGGUCAAACUAGAAUUCUAAGACGGAUUAGAUCAUUCAAUUCCAAAGUCAAAUGAAAAUCGGAAUCCAAUUCUUAUAAAAUAAGUUAUAAUUAUCGAAACCAGUAAAUCUCAUCCAAAUUUCGCAAUCUAAUUCUAGAGUCAAAAAUAGAUGAACCACACAAGUCCUGUUAAAACACUUGAAAAUAAUUCACAAGGUUAUACUAGUAGGAUGGAGACAUUAAUUCUUCGCACAACAUAUGUAGUUUAGGAUUCAUAGUUUUAAUCAACAUUCAAUUAGGACAUGAUGAUAUACAUCAAACGUAAUCGCGUAACUCUCUCGCUGAUACACUACAUUAUGAGACUAUCAUGUGUAACUACAAGUUAAUUAAUUAGUAGUUUAGUUUUUCAGAUUAAAUGCUUGUUUCAAACAUUACUAAUCAAUUGCACUUUUAGGAAAGGGAAUUUGUGGGGGUACUCAAAGUACUAUUUGUGACGCUCUGUUUUGUCUCGCUUAGUCUUAAUCAACCUUGUGAGGAAGCCACGAUCAGAAUGAGAGUUCCGCUCUUCCCGCUGUAUAACUUUGGUGUAGUAGAGACUCAUAUCACAUUUUCGCUUCUUAGAGGGUCGUCCAUCCUAAGCUACUGCACUCCUAACACGCUUAACUUACUUAAUCUCUUGAACCUAACCACCGUCCAAAAUAUUAUAACCGAAUUAAGAGUUUUAGGUCUAUUAUAUUUUAUAUAUAGAACAAUCCGGAGUCUCACACUACUACUUAUGGCAAAACAAGACAUUGUGGAAAGGGAAAUGGCAUGAUCCUCCUAGUCCUCUACCAAUGUAGCUUGGUUUUGCAUAGGCCAAUAUGGCAAUAUGAUUAGGUUGUAUAGAGCUCAAUGUACAUGGUUGUAGUAAUUGGUUGGUGUGUCCAUGUUGGGGUCCCUUUUAUCUCUCCCUAGCUAGGUUGGGUUAGUUCCAAAGUUGACGAGGACAAUGUAUGUAAUUACUAGCCCAUAGUGGACACACUAAUGGGUCAAAGGGGAUCCAGGACUAUUUGACUAGGGUUUAGGACAAGGCCCUGGCCUAUUGGUAAAAUUAAGUGGUCAAUUUGACCCUCGUAUGUUUUAAGUGUGGUCCCUAAUUAACUUGUGUUAUGCUACUAUUGGGGUAGGAAAAAGAGAAAAUGCUAUGUGUGGGGCUAGAAACCAUAGUAAAAAAAGGAUUUUUAGCUGCAGCUAUAUCUAAUAGAAUCUUUGAAGUUUAAAUCUAUAAUAAUAAUAAUAAAAUUAUAAACCUUGGAUUUUUCCCUUUUUUUUAAUUAACUUAUAAAGUUUGGUGGUUGUCGAAAAACAAACUAGUAUUACAUGCAAUUAUUUGUCAUUAUCUGAUGGUCCAAUUGAUAAGUACUUUUAUAUAGGUCUUGAAUUCAAAUCUAAUAUGAAUUAUGAGCCCACCUAUUUUAUUGAAAAUAAUAAUAAUAAUAAUAAUAAUAAUAAUAAAGUAGUUCGAUAAUUUUUUAUUUAAAAAUUUAAGUCGUUAAAAAAAUAAUAUUUUAAUAUAUAUAUAUAUAUAUAUAUAUAUUAUAAGUUGAGUUGGAAUGCUAUCGAUAGCAAACGGGCUACAUUGUCACCUAUUUAUUUUCGAUGAUGAAGCCUCCAAAUCGACGAUCGGCACCGUUGAACAUAAUCUAUACCACUUAAAGUGUCUAAAAACCAAAUUUCAAAUCUUUUCGACAUUAUUAGCCUAAUGAUCAAAGGGUUUUGAAAAUUAUAAUUUUAAUGAUAAAUAUGAGGCAUUUUCUCGUUUAACGGUGUAAAACUAUCCAAAUCAAUUGAAUUUUCGUUAGAAAAUUCUUUAAACUAUUUAGAACAAGAUUUAUACUCUCGAUCUUGAUUAUAAAAUUUCUAUCAUCAUUUUUUUAAGAAUAUUUAUUUUCAGCCGUUCAUUUUUACACCCACUUGAUAGACAAGAGAAUAAUAUCGGAAAAGUAUAAAAUUUGAUUUCUAGAUACUUCAAGUGGUGAUAUCAUUUUCAACGAUACCGAUCGUUGAUUUGGAGCCUUCAUCAUCGAAAAUAAAUGGGUGGCAACGGAGACGGUUUGUUACCGAUAACAUUCCAGCUAAACUCUAUAUAUUAUAUUUAAUAUCCAAAAGUGUUACUAGCUGUAUGUAUGGUCAUCUAUUCAUGAAGGAAUUAUGUUUCAUAUCAACCAAACCAUUAUUAUGAAUUGGCCCAGAGAAAUAUUUAGUGCUUGUACAACAUAAAAGUUCCAACUAACCUCUAUCGUAUAUUUAUACGUACAUCUAAAAAAUUUAAAAUAAAUAAAUGUUUUCAUUAAAAUACGUAUAAAAAAGUUAUACGUAUUUUAAUAAGGUCACGUGCCAAGCACGCGAUUGGUGAAUAGGUGCAAAACAUGCAUGUGAUACAGCCAAAGUACACGGAUCCAAAUCUGAUACGCACGGAAAUUGAAGGACUUAAAUCAUGAUAUUAUUGUUUACUAAAGAAACAAAUUAAGAAGGUGUAAUUAAUUAAAAUAAUAUUAAAACAUUAUUUUCCCUUAGUUUCUGGUUUUAGAUAAUUUGGUUGAGUGUUGGAUUUAAAACAUUAAACUGCUAUUCACGGCACUACAACAGAAUUAGAUUAUAGGGACACAUGUUUGAGACACUUUUGAGUAAGUGUCCCAUUUAUGCUAAAACUUAAAAACACAUCUACUAAUGCCUAAAUAUAAAGCCCAAUCCAACUAAAAAUAAAAGAUUACUCUACUCAACCCACCACACCUAGUCCAUUUGGCCCGAUUACAAACAUAAAUGAAAAAAAAAGAAAAAUCAAUUACCAUCUUUUCUUCUCUCUUCACUUAAUCCACUGAAAUUCUAGACAAAGAGUCUUUAUUGUCGUCCUCCUCCGCCACCGUAGCCAACGAGAUAGAGUUUCGGCGGUUGCUAAAUGCUUAAAUAAGUGUUGGUAAAUUAGCAGCACUUUUUUAGCUUAUAGCGACACUCUUUAACUGUCACUAUAUACCUAGCGACCCCACAUAUAGCAACACUUUUUAACAGUGUCGGUAAUUUUAGCUAACAACACUUUUUUGACAUGUACCUGCAUUUAAAAGUGUCGCUAUAGACCAUUUUUGAUAUAGUGCGGGUUAAGAUUUUGCUUGAUUAGAAAAUAAUAGUAAUAAAAGAAUUUUAAUUUAUUAUGAGUUGAUAAAAUUGAAUUUGAUCAAAUUUAAUUAGUGAAUGGUGAUCGAAUUGAGUUUAACUCCUUGUCAAGAGUAAUAUUAAUCCUUUUUGGAAGUCACAAUUUUGGUAACUUAUUUUUCUUUGUUUAUGUUGUUGUUGUUGUUUUUUUUUGUUUGAAAGCAUAGUUGUGUAGUAUUAGGCCCUUUAUAUAUUUUUAUUACUUUGGUUCGUAUUGUACAUCAAGGGAAGAAGAAGAAGAAGAAGGGAAAGAAAAAGAUAAAAAUUCCGUUCAGGAGAUACACAAUAGUGACUAAUUUAACAAUAAAUGCAUUUUUAUCUUGAAAAAUUCAGAUUCUACCGUUUGUUUCCAAAAUUGUAUUCUGAUUCUUAUUUUAAGAUCAAUUUCGAAAAACCCUAAACCGCUCGAAAUCAAAUCAAACUUUUAUUUCUCGUUCCAAGUUAUUCGACUUUGAUUCGGAUUAAGUUUAAUCACCAAUAUUUGCACACACACACACAUCCUAAAUGUGUUUGGAAAAUAUUUGUGUUCUAAAACUGGUUUAGUUGAUCUAUCAAACGAAGACCACAUUCAACAAAUGUAUCAAUUAAAGCUCCCUUCUCAAAUUAAGUGUAAAAUAAAUUAGAAGAAAUAAAAAAUUCAUUAAUGUGAUAGCUAUGCAAUUGGUUGAAUAAUCCCUUUUAUAACUUAUCUCUCUUGGGUGUAACUAAGUAAACAUUUGUUUUAGUAACAUACUCAAAAAAAAAAGUAUUUGUUUUAGUAAUAUGUUAAAAGAAAAGAAUAUGUUUUAGUAAACCUAGACAAUGAAUAGAUCAUGAUCAUGAUUAAAUUGAUCACAUAGUUUAUGAAUUGUUCAACGUAUCGUAAACUUGCUAACAAAUUUCAUAAUCAUUGACAUUAAUUAAAUUAGAAUUGGUGACCUUUUUUUUUUUUUCUUCCUGUGGACUUUUUUCCAACUCUUUUAAUUAAGCAAUCCAAACAAGUGACCAGAUCAAAACACAACUACUAUAAUUCACUGUGGCUUGUGAGCUCCAAUCAUAUAUGGCUAAGGUUUUAGUGAGAUAUAAAAAAUUAUCACAAAACAAUGCAAGUAAACUCCCAUUUAAUUAGGGCUUGAAUUAAUGCACCAAACAAAUAAUUGCAUGGAUUGCAUGCAUGCACCUAUGUUUAUAAAUUUUCCCAAAAACCAAUGUAUGAUGUGGUCUCCACACAAAUCAAAUCAAAUCAAAUGACAUAUACAUUGUUGCUUGAAUUAUCAAUGUAGACUAUAUAUAUGUACAUGUUAUUAGAAUUUCUUUUUACGCGCGGCUAAUGCAUUAUGCUCGAAUUCGGAUUAACUGAGAUAGAAACAUAAGUACCAAGUCGAACUGAAUAAUCAUUGUCUCCAUUUAGAUUCUUAUUAUUGAGCCUCUCCUAAGUUGAUGCCACAAACAUAGAGACAAAGCCCCCUAAAAAAAGAAAAGAAAAAGCCCUAUGCAAAGCUCCAUUAAGUACAAAUAUCUCUCCCACUAUAUUACAACUAGAAGAGAUACCACCUAUGCCAAAAAAAUGAAAAAGAUAGAUUUGAGGGGGAGACCAUACUACUUAGAGUUACAUUAAAGAGUAAUAUCUUUUACCUUUUUAAUCUCGACGCAUCUCCAGAUUCACGAGAUUACUGGGGUGAGAAUAUAAAACGCGAACCGUACCAACUGGAUCGAGCAAUAUUCGCUUAUUUUCGUAUGAUUAGCAUUCGAUCUCAGUUUUAUUUAAGUACAUUGCGCAAUAAUCUUGUUCAUGUGACCUCUAAUCUUGUUCAUGUGACCUUAAGUAGAGGAACAAAUGAGAGAAUAUAUCAUCUUCGAUCAGAUUCUAUGUAGAGAACCAGUAGAUAUGUCACUAAUGUUGCAUGAAAAAUAUCUAUAUGUGGAUUUUCACUAAUUAUUUAGUGAAAUGACUGAAAGGAAGAUAAUAUAUUGUAAAUGUGAAUAGUUACGCUGAACAAGAAAAUAUUUUACAAAAAAUAUUCCACACUUGUGGAGUUCUUCUUUGUUUUUCUUUUAGAGAGAAAAAUUACACGCUACAUGUUUCAUUUAUUUUUUUAAAAAAUAACCUUAAAUAAAAAUAUGAAGCGGCUAGGCUAAAGAAGAAACAAAAUGGCAUAAUUUAAAAAAUUGCAGUGUAAAACUUUUGCCAUUGCCUAAUUAAUCCUAACAUACUACAGUUGAGUUGACUAUCAACUGUUCAUCCUAAGAUCAAUACUUGUUUAUGAACUCUAAAUUUCUUUUAUCUUUUUUUUGGUUACCUAAUUGCAUUAUAGUCCCUAAACUUUUAGUAUAGUCCCAUUUCAUCCUCAAAAUUUUAAAAUUUAAAUUAUUUCAUUUUAGUCCCCACGGUCUAUUUUAACUAAAUGGUAUUGUUAGAAAAUAGGGUAAAAGGUAGAAAUUUUUUUGUUUAGUGAAAUUUUACAGAGCUGAUCUAAACUUUGGGUUACUUGAAAAAAGCUAUCCAAUUUUUCAAUAUUUUGAUUUUACUAUGCGAACUUGUAAAUAAUUCGAUUUUCCUUAUUAAAUGCAAUUCCCUACACCUACUCUAUUCGAAUAUUUGUUCACCCUAUCUUAAUUUUGUUCUUUUGAACGCAUAUCAUAUUGGUAACUCGAUCAACCUCUCAAUUUUUAACCAAAAAAACUAUAACAUAUUGGAGGGUAGAGAUUGAACAAUCAAAUGAAACGACUAACCAAUAAACAACUAAAAUAAAAAAAAUAAAUAAAAAUGAAAGGUUAGUUAGAGUAAAAUCAAAAUUUUAACAAUUAGAUAAUCAUUUUCAAAUGUUCUAAAAGUUACUCGCAUGCAUUAAUUUUUACCUUUUUCCAAAGUUUAUGAUUAUCUAGUCAUUGGCCUUCGCCAUGCUUCUAUAUAUAUGUUUAAAUGUUAUUUAAGUUUGUUCAAAGUACGUACGUGAAGAACGUUUCUGCUGAAACAAAUGUGAUUGCCUCAACAAAUUAAUAAUUCCUUUAUUUCAUUCUUUCUCUAUAUGCAAUCUCUGCUGCAAAAUCGGACAUGAAAAUUUCUUCUCAUCCAACUCCUCGCGAAUGAAAGGAUUCAAAUUCAAUAAUAUUAUAGAUACACAUUAAUAGAUAAUAUGUACACCAAGUAAUAAUUUUUAUUACUGUUUAAUUUUUUACAUAAAAAGAAAGAUGUAUAAAUAAAUAAGACAUGCAAGCUCGAUGUGCGUGUAUAUUUAUGCAUCUUAAUUUAUAGAUAAUAUACCUAAUGCUUCUCUUCUUUUUAAGUGCAUACAUUUUCACUUUAUAUAUAUAUCUAUAGUAUCGGAGCUUCGAUACUAUAGUCUCGUUUUUGAUAUUAGGAUGUUCAAAUCAACAAUCCACACCAUUAAAACUGAUCUAGUACGUGUAUUUAAAGUUUUUAGAAAUAAAAUUUUAUAUUUUUUCGACAUAGUUUACUUUAUGAUCAAAUCAUUUCAAAAUUGUCAAUUUUCAAUGGGUACUAUGGCGAGUUUGGAGUUUAACGGUGUAGAAGAAUCUAAAUUUCUCCAAAUUUUGAUAGAAAAUACUUUAAACUAUUUAGAUUAAGGUUAACAUUCUUGAUCUUAAAUUUAAAAGUCUUAUGCUCAAAUUUUAAAAAUUAUUCAAUUUCCACCGUUCAUUUUGACAUAAUUUAUUUACUAAGUAAACAAUGUCGAAAAAAGCUAAAAUUUUAUUCCUAAGUACUUCAUAUACCCUAAAUUAUAUUUAACGGUGUGGAUCGUUAAUUUGAACACCCUAAGAUCGAAAACAAGACUAUAGUACCGGAGCUCCGGUACUAUAGAUAGUAUAGUAGCCUAAUUAUUAAUGAUAUAUAUAUAAUAUAUAUAUAUAUUAUAAUAUUAAUAUAGAAUUAGGCUACUAUGCUAUUAAUAGCACCAAGUCAUUGUGCUACAAGUUUUUGGCCAUUGGAUUAAGAGAUGUGCAGUUAGGAUGAUGUGGGCCCUUUAGGGUUGAGUGGGUGGUUGGUUGAAUAGUAUGAUCUAACGGGUAAAAAUGAUCAAAAGGAUAGAUCUAACGGCAGAAAACUUGGUAGCACCAAGUGCUUCGUGCUAUUAAUAGCAUAGUAGCCGGACUCUAUAUUAUAUUAAUUAUAUAUAUAUAUAUAUAUAUAUAUAUAUAUAUAUAUAAUUGAGCUCCUAUGCUUUUAAAAGUCCCAAGUUAUUGGUGCUUGUAAGUUUUCGGCUCUUGGAUUAAAGGAUGUGCGGUUAAGAUAAUGUGGGCCCCCUAGAGUUGAGUGGGUGGUUGGUUGAAUAGUAUAAUCUAAUGGGUAAAAAUGAUCAAAGGCAGAGAUCUAACGGUAAAAAAUUUACAAUUACCAAGUGCUUGGUACUUUUAGAAGCACCAUAGCCGGACUCUAUAGAUAUAUAUAGAGAGAGAGAGAGAGUAGGGCUACUAUACUAUUAUGAGUAUUGGGCCCUUCGUACUCAUAAGUUGUUUUCGAUGAUGGAGCUUUCGAAUCGACGAUCCACUCCGUUAAAUAUGAUCUAAAGUAUUUGAAACUUCUAGAAAAAAAAAUUCGUAAUUUUUCGAAAUCAUAAUAAAGUCCAUCAAGCAGGCAUAAAAUGAACGGUCAAAAUCGAACGAUGUCUUAAAAAUGAAUGAUCGGAUCCUUCAAUUUAAGAUCGGAGUUAUUGACCUUUAUCUAGAUAGUGAAUAGAAUUUUCUAUCAAAAAUUCAAUCUAUUCGGAUUCUUUUGCACCGUUAAACUAGCAAGUAUUCCAUACCGGCCGUUAAAAACUGUCAAUUUUGUGAGCUUUUGAUCGUAAGUAAUAUGAUGUCGAAAAAUUAUGAAAUUUGAUUUCUAGAUGUUUCAAAUGCUCUAGAUCUACGUUUAACGGUGUGGAUUGUCGAUUCGGAAGCUCUAUCAUCGAAAACAACUUAUGAGUACGAGGACGAUCGUACUCAUAAUAGUAUAGUAGCCGGACUCUAUAUAUAUAUACUAGUUGAGCGUACGUGGAAAUGCACGUAACAAUUAUUUUAAUUUAUUUUAAAUCAGUAAAAAUUUGUAAAUCAUAUUUAUUAAAAAAUUUAGAAUAAAAUAUUUUAUAAAUUGAUAUGUUAUAUUUUAUUAAAACAUAUCUAUAAUAUCAAUUUUAAAUUUUAAUAUAAAAUAGAUUGAUAGAUUUGAUAUCCAAAAUCAAAAAUUAAAUUUAAUUCACGAUUUAAACUCAAAUUUAAAUUUUAAUGUAAAUUAAAUGGAUAGAGUAUAUUAAUAUUCUGGCAAAAAUUUGGAUAACCAUGAAUUUAUUUCUAUUUUAGAGAUAAAAAGAAAUUAAGCAAAUUUUGAAUUAAAAUAUAGAUUAACAAUAGAUAUCUUUCAGUUGGCAAAAUUUGAAUAAGUAUGCAUAUUUUUUAUUUUAGAGGUAAAGAUAAAUUAAAAGUUUAUUUUAUUAUGUUAUUUAUUUUACGUAAGGAAAGAGGAAUCAAAUUUUUUUUCCACCUAAAAAUGGGUCUACCGACAUAUUGAAAUUUGAAAUACGUGCUAGAUAGUAUAGAUAUUAUAUUAUAGUUAGAGAUAAAAACGAAUUAAAUAAAAAUUCACAGUAGAUAUUCUCAGAUUGGUAAAAAUUUGGAUAAACAUAACUUUUUUUAUGUUGUAGAAAUAAAGAGGAAAUAAAAGUUUUUUUAAUUCUAUUAUUUAUUUUACGUAAGAAAAGAGGAAUCAAUUUUUUUUUCCGCCAAAAAAUAGAUCUGCCGACAGAUCGAAAUUUGAAAUAUAUAUAUAUAUAUAUAUAUAUAUAUAUAUAUAUAUAUAUAUUUGGUUGAUUCAUGGUUUAUUUGCUGUCACGAUCUUUACAGCAGGGUACGUAAUUUAUAGGACGGUGCAAAAUGGUUCUUUUACGCGAAUAAUUAUGUGUUGUAAUUAAUGCUUCUUCCUGGAAAAUAAUAGAGUUUGACUACGUAUCAUUGCAUGGUACACCGACAAGGAAACACGUAGGUAGGUUUACGCUUAAUGGGCUCGAACUUACAACAGUAAUGUUCUCGUGGACACUUUAAUUUGAACCCUUUAUUUACUAACUCUCGCAAAUAAUUUGAAUUAAAAUAAACAAAAGUAAAAAAUUAUUGUUAAGAAAGAAACGAUUAAAGAAUAUAUGUGGACACGCUAUAUCGCAUAGAAUGUAAUUAAAAUUUCUAACUAAACAAGCUUUGAGAAUCACUAGAUAAAUUAAGGUCGCUAGCUGAUUUGCGUGAUAAUACGAAAUAAAAACUUGUUAAAAAAAUAAAUUUUAAAUUCAAAACUAUGUAAAUUAGCUGGGAGUGUUUUGACACGGUUUAUCAUGCGUGGUACGUCUAAAGGAUACGCAUGUUGUCCUAUUCAAUAUUAUACGCGAAGUAAAAUACUAUUUGUACACCCUCUAGAGUAGGGUGUGCAUACUUGUUACUUAUCACAUGAAAGUAAAAUUUAUAUUCGUAUAUUGCACCGUCAAAAUUAAAAUUUAUAUUCGUAUAUUGCACCCUCGAAAAUUUAUAACAUAAGAAACUGCCAAACAAUAUUAAAAGUAGCAAUAGCGGUAAGCUCAACUAUAGGUUUCAAACACUCUUUCUUCAAAUAAUUAAUGUAACAUAUACUUUAAAUAUUCUUGAUCUAUAAUGAUAUACAUGUUAAAGAUAGUAAUUUUUUUUUUUAUCUAUUUAGUUAUAGAAAAUCUGCCUGUUUAUUUAAUUAUUUUAGUUAUAUUAUAUGUAUUAAUCGCUUGAAUACAAUUUAAAUAAAUAAACAUAUCAAAUCUAAAAAAUUUGAGGACAAAAAUUUGAGAGAAAGAUCGUAAAAAAAGGGUUGAGUUUAUGUACUUUAAUUUGGAGGUCGAGGGGAGAAAAUUUUCUUCUUAGGGAUGUUAUUUAAAUCAGUGAACUCAUUCUUAAUUUCUUUAAGGAAUGCUUAUAAUUAGCAACUUCGUCCUUUCGCGAAGGGAUGCUUAUUUUUAAAAAAUGUGAAAAACUUCAUGUUAUUUACAAAUUCUCUCAGUAAAAUUUAUAUUUUUUAUAGAACGGAUUGAUGUGGCUUCAUAUAUGGUCCCGAAAUUUCACAUUUUAUUUAUAUUAUUAUAUUAGAUUAGAUUACCUUGCCUUUUAAACAAUCGUUAUUUUUAAUAACGAACUAAACAUAGUUUUAAAAAACGUGAAUAAGCAUAGACAAUGUUAAGUUGUGUUUUUGUACGCAUGCAUAUAUAUAUAUAUGUAUAGUAACUGCUUCUAGUGUUGCAUAUUGAUCGAGACGAACCACAUUUGAGAUUUGAGCUCGAAAUUGGAUUUGGGUUUAGAUCGGAUCCUUUCGUACAUGAUCUGAUUUAGCGUCCCACAACUAUUAUUAUUAUUAUUUUUGCGUAGAGUUUGGAUCCAUCUCGAUCACGAUUGAGAUGUGGACUUUGGGCUCGCAAUUGGAAUUGGGUUUGGAUUUGGAUAAAUAGAAUUUGGAUCCCUCUUAGAUUUGGUUGGGUCCAUUUAUGCUUCAAGUUGAAGUCGUAGUACAUGAUUUAAUAUUAUUAUUACUAUGCGUGAAUGGUGUGGAAUUAUUAAGAUGAUGAUUGCUAGGAGCCAAAUAUCGCACAUGAUUGGUCAGUUAAAGAAUUUCUCAAUCUAAUAAAAUUACAAAAAGUGAUCAAAGCACUGAUGGAAAUUUGUGGGUAAAAUGUUCGAUUUAUAAAUCUAUAAUUUAAUUUGUCAUCUAUUUAGACCAAAUAUGGUUUGUGUACAUAUUAUCCUAAAACAUCUUCUUUGUCAAAAAAAAAAAAAAAAAAAAAAAAAAAAAAAAAAAAAAAAAACUUUGAAAGCAUUAUAGAAGAGUUAUUUUUUUUGAUAUUCUAAAUGGUGAUAAGAAGCGCCAUGGGAAAAGCAUUCAUCGGAUAUGAUACUUUCAUUUCACUAAUGUAAAUAUAUAAAUGAUUCAACCUAAUUUAAAUGGAUAGCUUUAUUAGUUUCUAAAAUGUAAACAUUAAUUUAUUUAAGUCCUUCAAUUCUAGUUUACUUGAGUAAUUUUACCAGCUCAUGACAAAAAAAAAAGUAAAAAAAAUAUUCUAAUAGAAACGAUUAAACUGACUAGUCAUCUGUUAUACAGACAGCAUCAUCCAGCCACUCAUUUUUUUACCACUAUUUCAUUGUAUAAGAAGAAAAAAGAAAAAUUAAAAUUCUUCCAAAUUAGCAAUUGUUCCUGGUGCAAGUGGUAAAAGACUUGAUGGUUGGUAUCCGAAGUCUCAAGUUCGAAUCCUAGUUGAUUCACAUUUUCAACUAAAUUUAUUUUUAAAUAAAAUAAACGAAAUAGAUAGCAUGCUAUCCAUCUCUCUCAAAAAAAAAAUUCUUUCAAAUUCUUCCAACUCUUUAAACCAAAUUUUCUAAAUUAGACCUUCUUAUUUAAAAAAAAAAUCCAAGACCUGGUACGUGAGCCUUUUUGCACAAACCUCACUUCCCCCCCCCCCCCCCCCCCCCGCCCCCCAAAUAUAAAAAAAAAAAGAAAUAAAAAAAGCUCUGUCCUUUCUUAUGAGCAUAGUAGUUGCUUUGUCUCUUCUCUAUCUCUAUCUCUCUCUUCUCUCUCUCUCUUCUCUCUUCUCCUCCGUAACGCACUCCACCCACCAUCUCCAUUUCCCCCACCUCCCUCCUCCCUCCUCCCUCCUCUUCGAUCUCCCGCGCUUUCCUCUCUCUUCUCCCGCCAUAAAAAUGGCUUCUUGAAACCCCUUCAUCAACUCCACCAUUACCAUUCCCCAUUGCCGGUGCGUUCUCUCUCUCUCUACCUCUCCAAUGGUGGAUUCCAACGCCAACAACAACAACAACAACAACAACAACAACAACAAUCACACAUCCGAAGAAGCCCCAAGAGACCCCGGGGACGCUGCGGCCGCGGCAUCGUCGUCGACGACGACGACGACGACGACGACGAGGAUUGCGUUUGCGUUGGCCCGAGACGAGCCGUUCCUCUCCGAGUCGGAGGACGGCUACGUCGAGCUCCAGCUCUCCAGGGAAUGCUCCAUCUACGCCGCCGCCGCCGCCGCCGACCGCCGCGGCUCCUCCGCCCCCUGGAUCGCCGCCGCGCGCCCCGCCGUUAUCAAUUGGAUUCUCCGAGUGCGUCUCGUCAAUCCCCCCACCCUACCCAAUUCCCACCCCACCUCUCCCCCAGUUGCCUCAUCUAAUCCCCAAUCUCUUCUUCUUCUUCUUCCUCCUCUCAGUGCGCCGCCCACUUCGCCUUCGGCCCCUGCACCGCCUUCGUCGCCGCCGCCUACUUCGACCGCUUCCUGCGCCAAGAAAACAUCGACGUGAGCAAGCUAAAAAAGACAAUAAAAAUCCAAUCUUGAUCAUCUCCCUGCUCUCAAUUCUCCGAUUCCGAUUCCGAUUCCUGUAAAUUGAGCUGAGUUUGUGUUAUAUAUACAUAUAUAUGCAUACACCACAUACAUUUUACUUGUGUCGAUAGGAGCGGCCGCAAUGGGCGCUGGAUUUGCUCAAGGUGGCGUGCGUGUCGCUGGCGGCGAAGAUGGAGGAGCGGAGCCCGACGCCGCUCCCUGCCAUCGCCCGCCGCGACGAGCACCAAUUCGGCAGCGCCGCGGUCCAGCGGAUGGAGCUCUUCGUGCUGCGGGCGCUGCGGUGGCGCAUGUGCUCCGUCACCCCCUUCUCCUUCCUCUGCUACUUCGCACACAAGUUCUUCGACAAAGGUUAUGUAUCGGAUCACCUGCUGCUGAGAGCUGCUCAGUUCAUCUUUGUAACCAUCAAAGGUGGGUCAUUUGGUGGUUCUCUCAAUCGGGUCUUGCGUAAAGGCGCGAUCUUUUCGAGUCUCCUUACAUGUUUGGUGACGGUUGGUUCAAUGCAGUGAUGAAUUUGGCUGUUACCGCGGCGUCGAGCAUCGCGGUGGCGGCGGUUUUCGCCGCCGCCGACGGCAGCUUAACCCGGGAUUUGAUAGAAUCCAAGGUGACAUCCAUUGUUGACUCAUUACCAGAACCAUUAGACCCUGUGAGUAGUUUACACUGCUACUACAAUUGGAAUAUGCAUUGAUCAUCCUGUUGUUCUUUUUCUAUAAUUUUUGGGUUUUUCUCCAAACUUUGUGGAGAGUAAUGAGUGAAUGCAGAGUGUUAUUGCUCUGUGUUGCAGGAAGGCGUGUUUUCCUGCUACAGUGUGAUGAUUCAAGAAGCAUGUAAGGAGGAGCCUAAACCAUCAAAGGAAUUGGAUUCCUCUUUAUCAAAUCCCCCAGAAGCUAAUCAUGCCAACAAUGAUGAUUCUACUGCUGCUAAUAAGAGGAGAAAGUUGGAAUAGAAAAAAAGGAAGAAAAAAAAAAAAAGGAUUCUAUGAGUAAUUUUGAAGAGGAGGACCCAGGCACUUUUUUUUUUAUUUUUUAUUUUCUUUAACAUAAAGUUGUUAAUGGGGGCAUCAUGAUUCUUCUUUUUCAAUUGAGUUUUAUAUCAGGCUCAUUGGUUAAGCUUGAAAAAAGGUUUUGGUUUUUGGAGGAGCCUUUUCCACACUUACUGGUGUGUGAAAAGAAGGGAAAGGGGAGAAGAGAAAGGCAAAAGCUAUACAGCUCAAAGUGAAAAGACUCCAAAAAGAAAAAAAAAGAAAAAAAAAGAAAAGUAAAAGAAAGGCUGACUUAAGAAAGAAAGCUAGUAGGAGAUCAGUAGAUCACUAUCCAAGGGCAAAGGAUGAGUGAUUGUUGUGAAUAGGAUUUGGGAUUAGUCCUUUUUGUGUUUGGUAGCCCUUCUGUCAUUCAUUCAUGAACAACUUUACCCAUAUAUUUGUUUUAAUUCCUUAAUUUCUUCUUCUUCUUCUUUUUUACCUUAUCUUUUCCUUUUGCCCCCCCUGUGUGUUGUGUUGAGGCUAAUUGGGUUUCAGUGGAAGGGAAAAGAGUCUGGUUUUGUAUCUUUUGGAACUGUCCCUAGAGCUAUCCAUUUUGGUAGAGGAGCUUGGGAUGUGUCCUUAUAAGCAAAUGAGAGGGUGUUGGUUGUAAUUCUGAAGAUAUGUAAGGUUGGUUAAUGGAAAUGUAAUUGGAUUAUUGUUGGAUGGUCUUUGUUUUUCUAAUGCUGCUGUUUCCUGCUGUGUAUCAAAUAAGAAGCAACCUUUGUUGUUGGAACUUAUGAUAACUGGUUCAUGGAGGUGAUAAGUAACUGUUUGUUUUGUCUCCUUUUACUGCCUUGAUUUGCUUCAUUAUUUUUUAUUCCGGGCAUUUUAUGGAUGGGAAUCUAAUGGUGAUUUUGGACUACAGCUAUAAACUGAAAAGCAGCAAGAACUAAAACCAGAGGUGAAGGGGACUUCAACUGCUCAGAAUCCUGCAAAUAUCAGAUAGCUCCAUAUGAAUGUCCACAAUAAGAGCAUUAGUAAUAUUAUCCAAUAUUACCCACUGGCAAAUAGAUUAGCCUCACAUUAAUGUAAACCCAUAUAAUAAGAUCAUUAUCCAAUUGUGGUCCUAAUGUCCUAAGGUCAUAUAAGAGAAAUUUAGAAAGAGUUCUAUCCUUGGCAUAUUUGUAUAAAGUAGUUUUUUCGAACAAAACUUAUGUAGGGAGCCUCCUCAUGGUGGGAUUGUCUAAUCUGCCUUCCAUAACAAGCAGCGCUCGAAUCUUGAUCUAGCCUCACAAGUUAAGAAAAUGCACCUAUGACAUACAAGUUAAGAAAAUGCACCUAUGACAUUCCAAGCCUAAGCAGACAACUAACGUGUAUUUGGAAUAACUUAUUUAAAAAAGUAGCUUGCUAGAUGUUUGGCAAAAAAAAAAAAUCUCAAUCUUUUGCCUAUAAAAAGAGGCCAUUGCAUGCUUUAAUAGAACAUCCAAUUUGAAGCUUUUGCUUCUGUUGGAUUUGUUUCUGCUUUAGCGAAAAGCACCAACCAAACAACUCUUCUGCAGAAACUCGCUCAAGUUAAAUAUGCUUAAAAUGCCUUCUGCAAUGGCCUAUAUAGUGCAGGCCAACUUCACCAACUGUGUAAGAGAUGGUUACAAACUAUCUAGUAGCUUCACCUACUGUGUAAGAGAUGGUUACAAAGUAUCUAGUUAUGGUUGUUAGGUCUCUGCAUGCAAUAGAGUGGUGGGCUCACUCAACCAUCCCAAAGCCUCAAUUUCACCCUUCACAGAUUUAAAAAAAAAAGAAAAGCUACAAAAGAAAGAAUAUGAAGCUACAAAAGAAAGAAUAUGAAAUAGGACUGGUAAAAGCUAGGGGGUGAAAGGACUUCCUCAGCUUCUCCCACCAGCUGCUAAGCUUCUUUUGUGAGGUAUUCUCAGCUGGUGCAGCAUGUGAGUGCUUUACUGUCUUUUACUUACUUCAAGGUGGAAUCCAUGUGUGAGCCCUCCAUUCCUUAGACAGUUGGUGUGGAAAAUUUGAGAGCCCUCCAGCUAAUUUAAUCCUUGAUCACAGGGCUGAAAAUGGUCUUCCUCUUCACUCACUCUAAAACUUAUUGCAUGCACCUGAUCUACGCAUCCAUACACAGCACGAUGUUUACCGUCCAUCUUAUCUUAUAUUUCAAUCUCUACCGUCCUGUGUUUUCUACUUGAAAAAUUGAUUUAUAUGGUUGGACUGAAAGUAUGAAAUAAGAUCAAGAAUGAAUUUUCCUAAAGACUAUUCCUAUUUUGUCUGACCACGAAGAGAUUAUUUGGUUAUAUGGCAUCAAGACUGAUUGUAGACCCUCUUGGUUCAUUAAGAUAGUGUGGUUCUUUUUCUCGCAUCAACCAUUAAAAACAUUUGAGUCCCAUCUUUUACCUCUUCCUGUAUCUGUUUUAACAGCGCGGUAUUCAUAUAAGCAGGGAUGUUAAGACUAAUCUUGAGUUAUUUUCUACCAGAUCAAUCAAUUGAGGUAAUAGAUGGCGGUGCGUCGCGCUGAUAUAGAGCUAAACCAGAUGUAGGCAGUAACUCUCUCUCUCUCUGUCUCUCUCUGUCUCUCGAAGCAAUCAAAAACAGGCAGUAAAUACAUAUGUUGUGUAGAGGAGUACCACACACAAGUUUGGUAGUGAGUUAGUGAGUGGUACCUCCCUUUGCUGGGUUGGCUUGGCCUGGCAGAGCAGCAGCAGCAGCAGCAAGGAAAAGGAUAAAAUAAUGCUAGAGGCAGCUUGACCUGUUCAGUUGGAAUUUUACACAUUGAAUUGAGACCUGUGGCACCAAAACAAAAAAAAAAUAAAUAAAUAAAAGAUAAAAAAUAUGUUGCAUCAAAUGUUGGCCCCUGCGCCUUUUCCUUUGCAGCCCAAGUGAAGAGAGAGAAGCCACAGUAAAAUAAAGAAAGCACCAAAUCUACCAAAGCCCAAGAAGGCAAAACCUCACUUUGACUAGUCAACAUAAGUAUUUUCCAUGGGUCUUGUGAAUGAUGAACUGUCACACAAUAAUUAUUAGGGCUGUGGGGGUGAGUAGUUACAGUGUUAGGGUGAAGUACACAGGACAACAACAUUUUCUGGUGUAGUUUAUCAGAGGCUGUUGUAUAUGUCGAUUCAAUUAGUAAAAAGAAAAAAAGAAACUGAAACAUAAGAAUACAUCAGAAUCAUUGAGACUGAUCAGACUCAAUUAAUAAGCAGUAACUAAAUUUUUUUAAAAAAACUCCUAUCUGUUUGUCAAUAUUAAAACGAAACCACUUGGUCAGAUCCAUGCAUUAUUCUUCUCUUGGGCAAGUUUGCAAAAGAAACAUUACUCAAUUAAAGCGAGAAGGGAAUUACAUUGAGGCAGUGGCAGCUGUUGCCCAGCCUGAUAUAGUUUCAGCAUUACCAUGUAAACCAAAAAAAAGAAAAAAAGAAAAAGAAAAAUCCUAAUAGGGAGAUCUGACCCUUCUGAGUACAAUAUAUAGUUAUCAACUUGGGAUGGUUAGCUCUCAAAAGCACCAAAAAAAUGGGUAAAAAUGCACAUACAAUGAUCGUGAAGAGAAAAAUAGACAUUUUAGGAAAAAAAAAUUCCACACUCCUGCUAACUACAAAUUUAGUUUUCGUGCUACUACCGAUUUAUUAUUAGGCGUCAACAGGGAUUAAUUUAACUGCAGCAGCGAUAGGCAUGCUGAGAAAGCCGACGAAGAUGCUAGUGAACCACUGCAUAAAGGUUAGUGGGGUCGUGUUCGCAAAAUCUCCAAGGAAUUGGACGAUUAUAAAUUGGAAGAUGACGGUGCUCACAAUCACAGCCACGAAUACGCAGUUCUCCAAGAUGCCCUCGAAUACAUUGAUCUUCUCCAUCUCUCUGGAGCUGAUCUCAUUAAAAACCUGUGCAAGCAGACUCGGCCUUUAGCGGAAUCAAUUACUUAAAAAGUUUGAGCAUUAAGAACCUUUACCAUUAUUCUAUUCAGAAAAAAAAAAGAAAACGAUAGCAAAAUUCUUCAAUUUACCAUUCACAACAACGGUAAGAAGAAACAAUCCCAUAAUAACAGAGGAGAACCAUCGCAAGGAAAUUACCUGACAAAACACGAAAGAAUUGAAUAUAAGAGUAUUCAGUGUAGCAUCAGAGUUCAGGCCCUCAAGUCGAAACAGCCCUUUUCCUUCGGUCUGGAGAUACCAUAUCACGACAAACUGAUAUAAGGCUUGUCCUAGAAUAUUCCUCCACAUCACAUUGCUAAUGAAAUUUCCUUUCCUUCCGACUGGAGCUCUUUUCAUCAGAUCAUUAUUCGGCGGCUCAGUAGCUAACGCAAGUGCUCCAAGUGUAUCCAUGAUCAUGUUGACCCAAAGCAGCUGGACAGCAGUUAGAGGAGCAUUACCUAGGAAAUAAUUACACCAAAGGAAAAGAACUGUGAGGAGUAGCAUCUAAAAAUAGUAGGACAUUUUAGUAAAUGUAAAAUGGUAUUAUUUGUACCUGUUAAGCAUGCCGAAGAGAAAUUCACGAUUAGAGCUACCACAUUAACGGUUAGCUGAAACUGCACAAACUUCUGAAUAUUUAUGUACACAGAUCGUCCCCAUUUUCCCACGGUGACAAUAGUUGAAAAGUUGUCAUCGAGAAUAAUGACAUCAGCACUUUCUUUUGCCACCUGCAUAAAAGGAAAAAAAAAAGAAAAGAAAGAAAAAAGGAAAGAGAGGUUAGUGGUAAUAAAACUGGCAGAGACGAAACACAACAAAAUUCAGGAGAAGCAACAAGAACAAUGAUUCCAGUUAGCUGUGGAAAACAGGAAAAACUUGUCUAUACUCAUUUUAAGUUUUAUUUCUUGACACGAACCAAGUUUGCACAAGUAUGCGAGGACGUUGUACUAUAAUGUAAAGAAAAUGAAAAACUAGCAUAGAGCUUUAUAUAAUAAGCAGUUGAACGUCCAUCACAUGCUUGAAUGGUGUGUCAAGCUAAAGAUUGCAUGAUACAUCACAAGAAAUAGUUCCUUUACAUGGAUGGUCUGCAAUAAUUUGGCACGCCUAGAAUAGAAGUAGCAUGUUGAUAAAUAGGGUUCAAUAGGUCUCAAUACAUAAGUUACUGUCUAGUAGUUUGGUUGCUAGAUAGACAGCACAUAAAAGAUUUUCUGGAGUAAAAUAUGACAUCUCAGUUAGGACAUAGGAGGUUUUUAUACGUGCGAUCCUAAGCUUCAUAGAGCAUGGAAGAUAUAACUUUUUAUUUUCUCUGUUUGUUGCUGAAAUACGUGUUGCUUAUAUAGGUUAGCGUAAUGAAAUAUUACCUCAGUUCCUGCAAUACCCAUUGCAAGCCCAAUAUCUGCCUCAUGAAGAGCUGGAGCAUCAUUUGUACCAUCCCCAGUCACGGCAACAACUUCAUCGAAUGUGGUGCGCAGAUGCUUCACCAAGUUAUGCUUAUCUAACGGUGAAGAUCUAGCCAUCACCUGACAAUUGAACAAAAUAACAUGUUAAUUGAAUAAUAUUUCACAAAACAAGUAUAUUAGGUAAAAAAAUAAUAUUUAUCGUAGAACCUGAAGUUUUGGAAUCAAAGCAUUUAAUUCCUCUAGACUCUUUGUUCUGAAUUCUGGGCCUUCAAUAGCUAGCCCAUCAUCCGUAAGUAUCCCACAUUCUCGAGCAAUCGCUUUUGCCGUAUUUAUGUUAUCUCCCGUUACCAUUCGCACUGUAAUACCCGCAUUCCUACAAAUAGCAACCGAUUCCUUUACACCAGGUCGAACAGGAUCUUUAAUACCCACAAUUCCAAUACAAGUGUAUCCACUUAAAGGAAUUUGUUCCCCAACUGAGAAACCAUUUUCAAUCUCCAUAUACGCAAGGCAAAGAGUACGAAGUGCUUCAUUAGCAAAGCUUUCAAUUGUACCCUUGAGAUGACUAACCGCUGUUUCAUCAAGAGGAACAGCGUUACCUGUAGAGUCCAAUACUUUAUCACAAGCAGCCAAUAUAAUUUCCGAAGCACCUUUAGUAUGGGCAUGAUAUAUGCCUCCAGGAAGCUGAAGCACCACUCCCAUUCUCUUUUUCAGAGAAUUGAAAGGCUCAACCUUGAUAAGGCUACUUUCCUUGCGAACAACUUGAAAAUUUCCACCCAGUGACAGCCCAAAUUCUAGUAAAGCUGUUUCUGUUGGUGUUCCAAGAAUCUCAAGCUUACCAUCUUGGUUAGUCACAACCUCUCCACCAGUGUUAUUAAAUAUAGACUGCAGCAAAAUUUUCACAACAGAAUCUGGAAUAUCAGAGCAAAUACUAAUAGCUUCCUUAGAAUUACUUACUUCCUUGAUAUUUCCACAUACGCAAGCCUUUACAACAGUCAUGUGGUUGGUCGUUAGCGUUCCUGUCUUAUCACUACAAAUGGUAGUGGCUGAACCCAUAGUCUCACACGCUGCGAGGUGGCGAACAAGUGCUUUAUCGUUCAUCAUUUUUUUCAUGGCAAAAGCAAGGCUUAAAGUAACAGCGAGUGGAAGCCCUUCAGGAACUGCAACAACUACUAUAGUAACUGCGAUCGCGAAAAAUUCCAACAACUCCAAUGCAUCAUCUCCAGACCAGCUAAAGUAUGAACCAUCUCGGAAUUUAUGCCGGAUUAGGCCCUCACUUAACACUGCAAAUGUGACAACAGCAAAAAAUAGACCAAUUUUUCCGAUAAUAGUAGCAACUCCAUUCAAUUUCACUUGCAAUGGAGUUUCGUCAUCUCCACCUUCACUAAGUGUGGCCAUUAGCUUACCCCAUUGGGUUCUCAUGCCAACAGUGGUAACUAACAUUUUACAGGAACCAUCUUGAACCUUAGUCCCAGAUAGAAGGAAAGGAUUUUCUGUACUAACAGCCACAGGUUCACUCUCUCCUGUCAAACUGGAUUCAUUAAUUAAUAAAGAGAAACCGGAUAUGAACAAACCAUCAGUUGGGACCUGAUCUCCUAUAGCAAGGUGUACUACAUCACCAGGAAGAAGAUCAUAUAUUGAUAUCUUCUGUCGAAAUCCAUCUCGAGUAACUUGUAUAGAUAUUUUCUUUUUCUCCUUAUCCAAAUCCUUGAACUGCAAAGAUUGGCGAUAAUCACUUGUUGCUGUGACAAAGACAACUAAAAGAAUACUUGCAACAAUGCCAAGGCCAUCGUGAGCACCUUUUGGCCAUCCUUCGGUAGCAAUCCCUACGAUUAAGGAAACCAAGGCACACACUGCAAGAAUAAUGAGGGUCAUAUCUUGAAGUGCUUCCCAUACAAACACCCAAAAGCUCCUGGCUUGGCUUUCAGCGAACUUAUUUAUUCCGUAUAUCUGCUGCCUCACUGUUAUUCUAUCCUCCUGAGUAAUAAGCCCAUCAUUUGUUGAUGUGGAUAGCUUGUCCGCUACACCAGCUACACCACCAUGCGCUUUUAACUUCUUCAGAUCAUGGCCUUCGACGAUUGAACUUAAUUCCUCGGCACAUAUCUCGAAGCCCGCAGCCUUUACUUCAGCUGGUACAGUGUACUCGCUAUGCAAUGUAAUGCCUAAAGAAAUUCAUGAAUGUCUUAUAAAAUUCACAUAUUCCAAUUUUGAAAAUAUAUAUAGGUCGGAAAAGAGUGCAAGAUUACCAUGUAUAAACUGAAGUGCAGCUUUUGAAACCAAAACAGCAACCCGCAACUUCUCCUGUAAAAAAAGAACAUACGCAUUUACAUCUUCUACCGAAAGGAAGAAAUUUAGUUCAUAUUCAAUAAAUCAUGCUUCUUCCAUUACAAGCUGUAACAAAACCUAGAAGAUGAAUCUCUUAUAAACAUUCAAUAAAAAAUUGGAAAUAGGAUGUAUAUACUUUUAUGCCUAGAGUGGGAUAUAAGGUAUUUGGAGCAGGAAUAAAGUUAAAAAAAUGAUGAAUUCUCAAUAAAGCCUUUGGAUGUGGAUGUUAGGUUAAAAAUAUAAACUGAACAUACGUUUUUCCAAGAAUAUGGACAUAAUUAUAACUAAGGUAUAUGUUAGGGUAAUGUUUCAAAUGAUGCAGAGAGUAGGAUGCAUUCCAUCCAAGCAAGGGUCUGUGAUUGUGUAAUGCGACUGCUUGAUCGCUGUUAAAUGUCACAGAUAGGGCCCUAUGUUACCGCAUUAGACAGCUAAGAGGAGGGUAAUGUGGAAACAACUAGAUUUAAUUGGAGGAGGAUACUUCAAGAGAUGCAAAGAGAAAAAACAGCAUAUUUUCAUGGAUAUCUGACAUAUCCCUUUUGUACUAUUAUCUGUUAAAGCAUUUUCUUUUAUGUUCUUUCUUUGAUCUACAAUCACAGCAAGUAAAAGAAAACUCCAGGUGAAGCCAAAGCAGUGAGAUGGCAAUCAUUGAUUGAGCAACAAUACAAAAAUGCACAUCGGCAUAAGCUACCCUUAUUAUAUUUUCUCCAAAAAGUGUAAAAAAUUACAUUGAGAUGCAUAUUCUCUGAUUGGUGGCAAACAUGUUAAUGGCUAACCUUUUGAAAAAAAAGGACAAAAGGAAAUGCCAGAUGCCAAAUUAGUAAUAUAUGUCAAAUUUGUUCUCGUCGCAUUUUUAUGUAGCUUGAGUGUCACUAAUUCUCCAUUGAAUUCACUUCAUCCUCCCAUCAUUUGAUUCACAUUGUUAACAUUUGUUCCAAAUUAGAAGGGGAGGAGAUAACAGGGGAGAGAUAAGGAAAAAGUGAAAAUAAAAAGUGUUUGUUUUUUUUUAAUUUUUUUUCAAUAGAAUUUUGUAUAUCAAAAGGUGUAGGAGUGUAAAGUAAAUGACUUGCAAUCCUUUUAUAUCCAAAGUAUUUACUUGACAACAAAAAUAAAAACUUGAAAACAACCUCUCUUUUUUUUUUUUUGCUUUCAAAAUUUUUUAAACAAGUUGUAAUCAACCAUUUGACCGGAUGCAUUAUAAGUUACUCAACUAUAACAACAAACAAAAAGUCUUUCUUUCAACAUGUCAAAUUAUCUAGAAUCAGUGUUUAAUAAAAAUAAAAAAUGAGAACAAUACCGAAUGCGAGGCCUAGGUCUCUUUAAUACCAAAAGAAUAAGUCACAAAAAUUGACUAUGAAAAUCCCGAGAAAAUAUAACUUAUAACAAGAUCAGAAUAGGAUUCAGCUCCAACUUUCCAAUUCCAUAACACUUACAAAAGAAAAUAGAUUAUAAUUCACAAAGAGAAAAAAAAAAAGGAAAACAAAUAUGGAAUUUAGGGGCAGAAUGGUUAUUUCGAAGGAAAAAACAAAAUCAACUUCAACCAAUCAACAAACGGAGAAGGGAUAUACUUACAAAGCAUGCUACUUUGGAUGGCAUAUACAUAUAAAUAUAUAUAUAUAUAGUAGGAAACGGACUCAGAAAUAUAUAUUAUCGCCCUUACAUGAUGAAUAUGAAUGGCCAUUCAGUCUCAUUAUAUAAUACAAAAAAUUCAACCCACGACUCCACAUAAGGUCGAUCUAGUAGAGAACGGCUCAGAAAUAUACAUAAAAAAUGAUAAUUAAAAUUUUGUAGGGAUAAAUACGCAAUUUUUAUCGGUCUCAAGGGAUAAAAUUAAAUGGAGUAACCAAACUCAAACACGCCAAAAUCCCAAGAACGCAUUCAAAUGCAAAACAAAAAUAUUAAGAACGAGAAUCAAAAAUCGAAACCUGGUUGGAGCGCUUCAUCGCCCGGGCCUCGGAGCGCUUGGAGAGAUUGGCGGUGAAGCGGAAGCGGCGCUUGGGGUUCUUGACGACGCCGCAGAGCUUCCGCCACCGCUGCAGCACCUCAUCCGAGGAGUGCUUCGACUUCACCCCCCCGAAAUUCUCAUUGAGAUAGCUCUCCAUCGCGCUCUCCUCUCGCUUCCCCCCCCCNCCCCCCCUCCCCAAUUCCCCACCUACCACCCCCGAAACCUUCAAAAAAAAAACUUCAAAAAAACCCUAAUUUCGUACUCCCUCGCCCCUCCGCUCCGCUGCUCCUCGCAGCCGCUACUUGUAGCCGCGGCCACCGCGGCUCAGAAGCGCUUCUGGGCAGAAGCUUCCAUGUGAUUAGGGCGAAAGCGCAGUGGUAGGGGAGAAGAGGAAGGGUAGGGCAAUGGCGUUAGAGAGAGAGAGGGGAAAGAGAAGGGGAAAGAGAAGGGGAAAAUGAGGGUGCGGGGGAUCCGAAAAAUGGUGGGAAGGGUAAGGUUAGUGGCAGCGUCUCCGCGCGCGUGGGAGGAAACAGAGCGGAAAUUGAGGGCUCGAAAAAACCGAGUCGUCGCAAGCGCUUGGAAGCUGAAACUCUCCUGAAAGUCCCUGUACUAUUACUCUAUUUUGCAGUUUUUGCAGUUUGGUAUUGUUGUUCCCUUUUGAGCUUUUUUUGCAAUUAGCCCCCCGAACAAAAAAUUAUUUUAAAAAUAGUCUCGGCAAAUUUAAAUUUAUAAAAAUAAUCCUGACCCUGCCACGCAGAUGCCACGUCAGCGCCAUGCAGGCUAAGCUAGACCAGAUAGUUAAGUUAAACACGGUGAACCAUUCACUGUGUCUAAACACGGUGAAUGGUUCACCGUGUCUUGGGGAAAAAAAAGAAAGAUAAGUUUGGAACACAGUGAACCAUUUACCGUAUUUGAAUACAGUGAAUGGUUCAUCGUGUUCAACUUAAGGCCCUAACCGUCCACGUGGCGCUGAUGUGGCGUCUACGUGGCAAGGUCACAGCCAUUUUUUGUAAAUUUAAAUUUAUUGGGGCUAUUUUUAAAAUAAUUUUUUUCAGAGGGCUAAUUGCAAAAAAAGCCCUUCCCUUUUCCAUGGAUAAAUAAUAAAUUGCGCCGUUUAGCCCUCAAACUAUGAGGUCGGCAACACUUCGGUGCUUAAAUUUUAAUUUGUGAUUAAUUUUAUACAUGCUCUUAUAAAUAUAGUGAAUUACAAUAUAUAUUCUUAUAAAAUUUAACUUUCAUAUGUUGUUUCUUUAAUAGUCCUCAUAUUUUCAAAUAUCUUCCUACCGUUAGGAUCCGUUGGAAAAAAUUAGUUAACCAUAGAUAAAAUACUUAACCCUAGUUAGUUAAUAAGGUGAAUUGAUCGAUCUUUUUACCCUCUUCAAUUAACAGUUGAGACGUUUGGAGGGACAUAUUUAUGAUUGUAAAAAGGUCAUUUCAUUUGUAAAAUAAGCAGUGUUUUAACGGUAACAAACUAGAUGAAUAUAUUUGAAAAUAUUAAAACUUUUGUAGGGACAACGUAUGAAAGCUGAACUUUAUAGGGAUAUAUUUAUAGUUUACUAUGUUUACAGAGACCUGUAUGAAUUUAACCCUUUAUUUUAUUAUAAUAUUUUAUUCAAACUUUCAGAAUUAUUGCCAUCAAGUUUCACGAACUAGUUUAGCUGACCAAAUAUUGACACAUUGUUGAUGUAAAAGUUAUGCCGCAUCUUAAUUAUUAUCGUACAAUCAAUCAUAAUACUUGCACAUUAUUUUUAUAUCAAUAAUUUAUUAACAUUUAGCCAAGUAAAUUAAUUUAUGGGAUUUGAUUGUAAUAAUUCUGAAAGCUUAAGUCGAAAAUUACAACAAAUUAAAGUUUAAGUGCCAAAUAGUCACAUGAUUUAUAUUUUGGGGACCAUGCGUGCAACUUACUUCAUUUUUUUUAAACUUUUGUGGGGUUAUUUGAUUCUAUGCGGUUACAAUUGCAUUGUAGCUAUAAUUACAUAUCAAUUCGAUUGUAUCCAAACAUAGCAGUUGAAGAAACUAAUUUUAAAGAAAAUUAAAAACUUGCCUAGAUUAUAGCCUUUUAAACAAAAUAAACAUAAAAGAUAAUCCCCUCACCUCACAUAUAAAAUGAGAAAAUUUAAUUAUAUUUUUCAGCAGCAUAUAAUCAAAUAAAUUGCUUAUAAUUAUAAUAUUUAUCACUAAAUUCAACUAAAUAAGAUGCAUGUAGCUAAAAUUACUAUAUUUCUAAAUGAAUGGAUCUGGAACUAUACUAUAUUUACAAUCAUAUCUAACCAAGUGGACUUUUAAUUUCGAUAAAAAUGCAUGGAGACCCCCCAACUUUUCCAUGUUCGAGUAGACACCUACAUUUUUAAUUUUAGCAUUAUACUUUUUAAAAACGUAAUCAAAUAGUUUAAUAACCAUGUCUCUCAAUUCAAAUUAAAUUACACAACAGUUUUGACUUUUCGCAUUUCAUUAGAGAUGAUAUAGCUUUAAAACACAAAAAAAAAAAUAUUUUUUCUAUUGUAGCACAUGAAAUAAAAAACUAUAAAAUUGAAGAUAGGUCAUUCUAUUCUUUAAUCCUGAAAUAAUUAUAAUAACAAUAGCAAAAUACAGGUUUUUUGUCUUUUAAAAUUAUACGAAAUUAUGUACAAGAUAUGUGAUUAAAUAAAUUGCUCAAUUAGUAACUUUGUUUGAAGUGAGAGCCUUAUUGAAUUAUGAUGUCAAAUUUUCAAAAUUAAAGAUUUAAAUAUCUAUUUCUAAAAGUGCUAAAGUUUAGAGGCCUUUGUACAAUUUUUUCUACUUCAGUUCAAAAGAGCACCUCAACCUAGGGGUGUAAACGAGCCGAACACGAGCGAGCUGGGGUUGGCUCGUUAAAGUAUCGAGCCGAAAAAUUUAGCUCGUGUUCGGCUCGUUUAUUAACGAGCCAAACACGCGUGCGCUCAUGAGUUGGCCAAUGAACAAUAAAUUAAAAAGAUUAGAUUAAAUAUAUAUAAAAAUAAAUUUAUAAAAUCUUAUCAAUUAGACUUUGAUCUAAUAAUUGAAACUUUACAUAUAAAUAAUUUUUUUAUAAUUAAGCUCGCAUUUAUAUUUUAUUUUACUAAAUUUUAAUAAUAAAAAUAUAUAUUAUAUAUAUAAUUAUUUAUUUAUAUAUAAAAAUAUAAUUAAAUAAAUUAUAUAAAUGUAAAUAUAUAUGUAUUCGAGCAUUUAUCGAGCCUAGCUCGUGUUCGGCUCGUUUAUUAAACGAGCUGAAAAAUCCAGCUCGUGUUUGGCUCGUUUACUAAACGAGCGAGCCAAUCUUGAGGUCAUUUCGAGCCGAACACGAGCUGGCUCGCGAACAGCGAGCUGGAUUGCCACCCCUAAACCUACACGCUUAAAUAAAGAUAUACAUCUUACACCCCCUCUAAGUCAAUGGCCAACAAUUUGUCUUUUCUUGUAAGUUUUUUUUUUAUUUUUUUAAAUAUUAAAACUUCAAAAGGUUUUCUAAACCUUAGGAUCAAGAGAAUGUAACAUAUACACCCCAGAAUAAAAGGUACAGAUAGUAUUUCUCCAUUUGAGUCGUGAUCUGUACACCUGAGUAUAGGGAAUGUACAUCUUACACGCUUGAUCCAAGAGUUGAUACACUUCUUUUGGAAUAGCACAAUGCUAUUGGUACAUUUUAAAACAGAUUGUAUAUCUUACACAUUUUUCAUCCAAAGAAUAUAAUUUUUUUACUUGUCACAUCAUUUUUUUUAACUAUAACUCAUUAGGAUUUUUGUAAACCCUACGAUGAUGAGUGUAAAAUCUACACCUUUCUUUUAGGGUGUGUCUGGAGAAUUUUUCUUUGGAUUAUAAAUUUUUUGAAAAAAUGGACAAGUCAAGUGGAUUAAAAUAUAGGCCACGAGACCCUUUAGGGGUGUAAACUUUACAUAUGUACAUUUUCUCAACAAAAAAAAAAACUUUACAUCCGUACACAGGGCAUAUGGAUAACAUUGCAUUUUAUUAAAUCCAUAGAUGAUUUCAUUAAUUUUAUAACUUCGAUUAUUUUUAGUAAAUAAAACUAGACAAAUCAACAGUUAAUAAAGUCAUUAAAUUUGAAAAAAAAAUUAAGUAACCUAAGUAUAAAAAGUCAAAUAAAAAAAGGAAUUUGAGGAGUCACAAUAAAAAAAAAAAAAAGUUAAGUGGUCUAUUUCAAAGUUGGCCAUAAGAAGGUGUUGACAGCAGAGGCUCUAGUCAACCGUGGUUGGCACGGUCCCUCUGUUUGCGUGCUUUGCAAUUCAAAUUUUGAAACUCUCGAGCAUCUUCUGUUAAACUGCUCCUAUGCCAAAUUCUUGUGGACUUCGUUGCUUCGUUCUGCACCAGCAGCGCAACAUUAGAUGUCCAACUCAUCGGGUGGGAUAGCAGCUCGAUGGUGCCGGUCAAGGAAAUUACUAAUAGGGGAAUCAAAAAAGAGUUAUGAUCUCUACGUCGCAGCGGGAUAUUAGGAGUUAUGGAAAGAGCGGAACAGGAGAUUAUUCGACAAUCAGAUAAAACGGAGCGAAAAUCUGGAAAGACUAAUUCAUUGCACGGUCCACCAUAGGGUCUCUGCAACAGGGAGCUAAGAUCGUCGACACUUUCUAAGUUUGUUAACACUUCAGGGUCUUUGGCCCCUACUUUGAGCAAAUUCGGACUCACUACGAUUGCUCUUUCUUUCACUUUGUUUCUAUGGGUCUAUGUAAUUUGAUCAGGCUCAGCCUUUGUUUUUUAUCACUUUUGGUCCUUGUACUUGGUUUCAAAUAGGGUAAAUCCCUGUUUAAUCAAAAAAAAUAAAAAAUCGGCCAUAACUAAGGGUUCUCCAUAUAUUUUUCACCUUUAGUUUAAGAAAAUAUUUUAAUUUGUUUCCAUCUAGCUUAAUUUUAUUUUGUUACUUUGUAGUUUGCAGGGCCGAGCUAUGCAGAGGCUGAGGGGAGCCAUGGUCCCCCCCAAAUUUUUAUAAUUUGCUUAUAGUCCUUUAUAUAUUUAAAAUUUUAAAAAUAUAUUUUUAUUUAAUUUAAAAGUAUGAUGAAUAACCUAUUUUUUAAAAAAGUUUUUAACGCUAAUAUAAUCCUCUCUCAACUCUGAGUUUAUUUUUAUUUUUUUAUUUAGUACCUUCAAAACUUCUAAUUAUUUUAGAUAAUUUUUUAUUUAAUUAAAUUAAAGGCUAUAUUAAAGUUAAUAGCUCUGUCAACUAAUAGUCAUUUAUUGUUACAAUUAUAUUUAGUAAAAAUUAAGAAAUUAAAUCAUUCACUAAAUUACUAUUAGAUUUAGUAAAUUUCAAAGUUAUUUGAGUGAAAUAAUAUAAAUAAAAUAAUUAGAAGUUAAGUAAAUAUAAAUAAAAAAGGAGUAAUGCCUUUUUACACUAAUUAUUUAGUUAAUAUAUUUUCUCAUCAAAAAUUUGACUAGGUAAAUUUUAUUUAUUUGCUAAAAUUUUGAUUUGUAUGUAUUUUGGCCCCCCGCAUAAUCGAGUGCUAGUUUCAUCCUCCGUAGUUUGAAAGAUAUUUUCAUAUUAUUAUGUGAUUUUAUUUUUGUUUUAUCAUAAAGGCCUACGGAUAAUUAAGUAUAUAUGAUAGUAAAGUAUUAUAUUUUACAAAACUCAAAUAGUAAACUAAAAAUAAAUGAUUAGUAAUAUGCCAUAAUGAGCAACGUUUUAAGAUCUAAAACAUAUAUAUUUCUACCAAUCCAAAAAGUAGUUUACACUUUUAACUGGUAAAUUGAUCUUCUACUUACUGAACUUCAAAUUUAGUUUUGUAUCCUCUUAUUUUUAGAGUAUUUUAUUUUAGUUCUCGUCUCAAUUAAAAGUAUUUUUUGCGUCAAAGUUCAUGAGUAAACCUAUGUACAUUGAAUCACUCUGCUCUCCGUCUCAUAUUUUCAUUUUAAUUAUCUAAUUUUUAAAAGGAGAAAAGGUUAUAACUCUAAAUAACCCGAGAGAUCUUGACCGUUUGAUAGAAAUAAUUCUGUUUGGGAAGAGAUAAAUCAUUUCAGUAUUUUCAAAAUUCGACGGAGAUUAUCAAAUAUAGUUAUGAAUUUUUUUGACCAAAUUCAUCGUGAUUCGAUUUCCAAAUAAGAUUCCAAUUUAUAUCAACUCUUCAGGUGAUUUUAAAAUAGGAAUAGUUCCAUAGUAUCGUCGCAUAAAUCGAGCAUGCCCUGAACUAGCAUAUAUUUAUUUAUCUAUUUAUUAAUUCUUAAUAUCGUACGCACGUUACGUACGUGCAAUGAUCAAAUGUUACCGUUGCACCAAUUUAUUUAUUUAUUUUUAUAAUAUUAGGUGAAGUGGGGAUCUUGUCUCUAGCAACGUGCAACGAACCUUAGGUUAAAUAUUGUAGUUAUGUGCCAAUUUUAAGUUGGAUUGGAAACUUGUUAAUAAAUUAUGUACACAGCAACGACCUAAAACAAAAAAAAAAAGGAACAAACAAACAACCAAUCAUUUUAUAGAACAAAAAAUGUACUCAAAUUUAAAAUUUGAGUUAAAAUUUGUAAAUUUAGUUUUAAAUUAAAAUACAAGUUUACAUUUUAAAUUUAAAUUUUUGCGUUAUAAAUUGAAGUUUGAAUUGAAAUCAAAAUUCAAAGUUUUAAGUUCGAAUAGUGGCCCUCAAAUCUCUUUUCUUAUCAAGGGCCCAUCUCACUACAAAAGCAAUCAUGUUACGUGCCUUAAUUAGGCCCAAAAAGGGUUCAGAUUGAAGAAACAAAGGCCCAUUAAUUAUCCCUUUUUUAAAAAAAUUAUUUUUGGGGACACUCCUCUAGUUAUUCCCUUGCACAACUACUAAAUAAUUGCAACAUAUUUUGAAGGAAAAAAGAGUUAUAAUUGGGAGAAAAACUAUUAAAAGGUUUUGCGUUCAAAUAAGAUGAUGCGCAUGAGAAAGUUGAAAAAGAUAAAAAGGAAAAAAAAUAUUUGGGAGAAAAGGAAAAUAAUUUACCAAUCCAAUUGAUUCUAGAGGAACAUAUUUGUAAAAGAGUAAAGUGAUCGAUGGUUCGCAAUAGAAAAUAGGUAAUUUUUACGAGGUCAACUGAUGGACAGGAAUUAUGUAUGUAUAAAUUUGUAAAGUUUACAUGAAUAUAUAUAACGAUAUAAAAUUUAGAGGGGGUAAAAAUGUAAUUCUAAUCAAAGAUAUGGUAGGCAAUUUUUCUUAUAAUUUUGGGUUUUUCUUGCGUUUAGUCUUCUCAAUAAUUUUUUCCUAAAUAGCCCUAUAAAAUUUAUAUUUGUAAGAUUGACUUUAUUUCCGCAACGCAAGCGCCACGUGGAUGUAGCGGUAGGUUAAGUUGAACACGAUGAAUCAUUUACCGUGUUUGAAUACGGUGAAUGGUUCACUGUAUCCUUUCUAUAGUCGAAACCCAAAAUAUUACGUAGUAUCAUGAUUGGAAAAUAAUAGAAUACAAUGAAUUGUUCACCGUGUCAAAACACGACGAAUAAUUUAUCGUGUUCAACUUAACCUACGCCGCCAUCCAUACUCGUAUGUGGCACUUACGUGGCGGGAGUAUGAUCAAUAUUAUAAAUAUAAAUUUUAUAAGGCUAUUUAUAAAUUUUUUUUUUUUGAAGGGAUUAAAUGCAAAAAGAAAGUCCUAUAAUUUUCUAUGGUGGGACAUCCCCAACACAACCAUGAGACAUGGCCUCAUCUCCAUGCUUUAUGCUUGGUCCAUAUAUACAUGGAAAUAUACUUUUUGACAAAAAAAAAAAAAAAAAAAAAAAAAAAAAAAACUUGGAAAUAGAUAAUGAUGUAGCCAUAUAAAGUGGAAUAUAUAGGAGCUAGAGGGUAAGGACUAAGGACCCCUUGCAUGGUCUCAAUAAUUAGAGUACUAGAGGCCCCAUGCAUACUUGUGAAGUUGAAGAGGGCUUUUGGGUACUUCAUUGGAUGACUAGGAAUCCACUAAGAGAGAGAGAGAGAGAGAGAGAGAGAGAGAGAGAGAGAGAGAGAGAGAGAUGCUUCAAAUGUUUCUUUAAAAAAGGAGAAAUGGAUAGGAAAAUGUGUCUUGCAUGGAUCUUGGUGAGGUUUAGUUUGGUUUAGCAAACUAACAUCACUUUCAACGUUUUGUUUGUUUCACUGAAGUUGAAGUUUAAAUUAAAAUAGACUUUUGAAUUAAUUAGAGUUCACGUAAAAUUUUUUUUUUUCGUUGUUUGUUUGGGUCGUUGUGGAACUAUUUUUUUUUUUUUUCAGUUCUGUUGUUUGUUUGGCAAAACCAUAAAUGACGUGAAAACUGAAGAUGUGAGAUAUAGAUUAAUUUUUUUAAAAUUUUUUCUCACCUUUUCUUUUUCUGUAAUUGACUUCGGUAAGGGGUGGACCGAAAUCAAUUACGUUAUUUUGGGGAGUUCAAACCGAAAGUAAAGUUACAGUAAAUCAAACAACAAAAAUAAAUAUUUACAGCUGAAACUAGUUCAUCCAUCUCCACUUUCAGUAAAAUAAGAGCACUCCGUAUACGAAUAAAUCAAUUAAAAAAGUUGUAUGUCGAGCAUAAUUCCGUGAGCAGAAAAAUCUUGUGUACGAGGUGAUUCCAUUCUAGCGGCCAGAUGCAUCGUGCUGUAGAUAGACAAAGAUUUUCUUAGCAUAAGUUGCGAAGAACUUAUUAGCUGCUGGAUCCCUCUAUAUAUAAUAUAUGACAAUAUAUCAAUAGUCAAUAAAACUAGUGUACAUUAUGAUCGUAUGUCAUAUUUGAAUAUCAAAAUAAGUUACUUCUAUUGUGGUUGAAAAUUAGGAGUUUGAUUCUUGCUCCUUAAUGUUUCGUUUAGAGGCAUUAAUAUUUUAAUUAUCCUAUACUAAUGCCUAAAAUGAAUACUGCAUUCUUCAAACCAUUUUUUCAAAGUAAAAUAAAUCAUCUUAUAGAUGAAAUAUAUUAUUCAAAGAGUAAAAAUCAAAUUUUAAUUUCCAACCAUAGAAAAAAAAUCUUUGUAAAUUGAACAAAUUAUCAUUGCAUAUCUUAUUCUGACAUUCAAACAAGUUUCAAUUCGUGCUAUGAAUUACCUUAUUUCGAAAAAAUAAUUCUGUAUACUAACUACAACACAUUAUUUUAGAUAUUUAAUCACAAUCCUUAUUCAUCUAAUUCUAAAAAUAAUUUUUUUAAAAAAUAUAUAUAUAUAUAUAUCCAACAGUAGUUUCUUUUCUUCAGUAUGAUCAUUAGUCAACUAAAGAGGAGUUGCUCUUUCCCACCACAUCCUGUUCGAUUCCACAACAUAGAAACAUUGGAAUCCUUUGACGUUGUAUGUUUUUAUCGUAAGUGCCAUUGUGGAGGAUAAGGCCGAUGACUCACCCCAACAUUACUCCACCAAUCAAUUCAUGACUUGUGCCCUCAACAUAUUUAAAGGGAUCUCUCUCUCUCUCUCUCUCUCUCUCUCUCUCUCUCUCUCUUUUACUCUUUCUCUCUCUCUCUCUCUCUCUCUCUCUCUUUCUUUUACUCUCUCUCUCUUUCUCUCUCUACAGUUUGGCUAAGGUCAUGAGCUUAAAGCAAAGUGGUUGCUUCUCUGACAAAAUAAAGCUUUUGGAUUGGGUGGGACCAAAAUGAAAUAGUUUUUUACAUUUAUCUUCGUUUGUAGGCAACUAACGUACGUACCCAUUAAUUUCUGUAACAUUAAUUAUAUAUUAUUAAAAAAACUUCAAAAACCCUCCCUAUGGUUUCGCAAUUUCUCACUUUACUACUCUAUGGGUUAAAAUGUAUCAAGUUAGUGUUCUGUGGUUUUAUUUUUAUUUUUUCGUCAGCUUUUCCGUUAAUAUUUCGUUAAAUUAUAUACAAAAAAACUUUAGAUACCCCAUCUAAAUUUAUCAAAUAUUCACUUUGAUACCCUUUAGUUUUAACUUUGUCACUUAUUAAUAAAAAAAAUCAGUAAAAUCGAUAAUAAAAAGAUAAAAAUGAAAUCACAUGACACUAAUUUGAUACACUUUAAACCACACGGUACUAAUGCGAAAAAGAGUGAAACCACGGGGUGGGGGGUAUUUGAAGUUUUUUCUAUAUUAUUUUAUGGGUUAAUUGCAUACAAGUACUGUAACGCCCCGACUUCCCAGGGGGUCACCCAUCCUAGGACUACUCCCGUCCUAGCACGCUUAACUCUCUUAACCUCUUGGGUCUAGCCACCACCCAAAAUGCUUAAGCCGGGUUAAGAGUUUAGCCCUAUUAUAUCUCAUAUAUAGGACUAUCUGGGGUCUCACAAGUACCUGCAAAUACAGUAAACUACAAAUAUAUCUCUAUAAAGUUCAACUUAUAUAUAUAUAUAUAUACUAAAACGAAAAAGAGUGAAACCACGGGGUAGGGGGUAUUUGAAGUUUUUUCUAUAUUAUUUUAUGGGUUAAUAUAUCUCUGCCAUUAGAAUCUGUUAGAAAAAUUGUUAAUCAUAUAUUAAAUACUUAGCUCUAGUUAGUUAAUAAGUGAAUAACCUUUUACCCCUUUUCAAUUAACAGCUGGGACUUUUGAAGGGAUAUAUUUGUGAUGACAAAAAAGUCAUUUCACUUAUAAAAUAGACAAUGAUUUAACGAUAAUAUAUCAGAGGAAUAUAUUUGAAAAUAUUAGAAUUAUUUUAGGAACAAUAUAUGAAAGUUGAACUUUAUAGGGAUAUAUUUGCAAUUCACUAUAUUUACAGAGAUCUGCAUAAAAUUAACCUUGUUUUAUCAAAUUUAAAGUUGCAGACAGUUAGGCUAGUAUUCUGUUUACGUGGUGAAGAUCGGAGUAGAUCAAGUGACGACUGAGACUCGUGAGUGCUGUAAAACAAUUCACUGGUUUAAAAUUAAUUGAUUGUCUUAACUUAAUUGAUUGUCUAUGUUUUAAAUUAAUUCAUUGUCUCCUCUCGAGUGGUUUGAUUUUUUCGAUUACUGGUUAAAACAAUUCACUUACACAAGCAUACAUUUGUUUGUUGUACAUACAUCUACAAAUACUCUGAGUGAGAGAGAGAGAGAGAGAGAGAGAGAGCUGAGAUUAGUAGUAACAAAAAUUUCACAACUUUUUGACAUUAUCUGGUUAAAAAUAAAUUGGUUUCUAAUAACUUCACAUGCACUUUGGAAUUAUCUUUUGUGCUAUAUUUUCUUUUACUUUGAUGCAUGAAUCAAGUGUACACACCUAGGGCCGUUUGUACAGACACCCACUACAAGAAAAUUUUAUUACAAGAAUGUUUUGUCGAUGAUAAUUGAAAAAAGCAUCCCCAAGCAUUUCUAUAAAAUAGGAAAUAUUGACGCGUCAAAAAGUAUUGUCAUAUAAAUUUUCUAUUAUAUCAAACCAAUUUAUUGAAUGAUAAACUUUGCUAUUUUUUUUAAUUGAACGAUACUAUAAAGUGUCGGGAUUUUAAAAAAUUCUCACACUUUGAAGCAUCAAAUAUAUUUUAUUGAUGCUCGGUUUAAAAGUCAAUAUACUUGUGACGACUCUUUAUUUGCCACAACUUUCAAGUAUAAUGGUAAACUAAUUCUGGAACGCUUUUAAAUAUCAUUAAACACCGAAAAAAAAAAGUUCUUAGGUAUUAAUUUUCGUGUAGGGAACCCUUGAGAAAUUCUUGUUAGUUUAACAUGAAGGUAUUCGUAUCAACGAUUUUGUAUAUGCAAAAUACCCCUAAAUUUCAAUUCUUGAUUACAUCCUUAAUUAAUGUUUGAGUCUACAUUUCUAUACUUGAUCAAACAUAAGCAAGUAAUGGCUCAACAUUUUACUCUUAUUAGGAUAUCAAAUUUUGGAUACAUACAUAUCCAUCUAAAACUUCAUACUAUAUACAUACUUGUUGUACUUUGCAUAUAUAGCUAGGAAAAUGGUCUACAAUUUAGAUGUGAGUCUCUUUUAAAGCAUGUUGUACAAAAUGUGAAAAGGAAGUAACCCAAAGACACAUAUGUACUGUUGCAGAACUAUAGUAGUGGAGGGAAAAAUAAUUCUAAGUGGAUAAGAAGUACUCCAUGGUCCCUUGAGGAAUCUGAUCCACAUGAAAACCCUUAAAUUAAAAAAGAAAAAGAGAGAGAGAGAGAGAGAGAGAGAGCCCAAAAGAAAAAAAGAAAAAAAAAGAAAAUAAAAGAGAGGUUGAAGGGAAAGUUGAAGACACUUAUGAGGAAGGGUAUUGAAGUGAAAGCACUAAGAUAGAAGCUAAUGGAUCAGAACAUCAACAUAUAAACCAAGUCCUGGUCAAUCCCCAUCAAUUCCACGUGAAGUGAAAUAAAAGGAUAAGAUAAGGUGGGGAAAAAAAAAGAGGACAAAAAAUUGUGUAUUUUUGGUCUACUUCUGUUUCUAUUUUUAGCACUUAUAAUCAUGACUGAUCUUCUAUAAAAAAAAAUCUAAAAUUUGAAAAACACAAGUUCAGUAUUUGUAAUUAUGCUGAUAGAGAGAGUCCAUAUAUUAGAGUUAAAGGAACCUUAAUAUGUAGACUCUAUCAACCCACGUGAAAAGGAAUAGAAGGAUAAGAAAAAGCGAAGAGAAGUUUAAAGUCUUAGUGCCCCACUUUUGUUUCUACUUUCAGCAACUUUUAAUCGUGAUUAAUUUUCUGCAAACCAUUUAGUAAGCAACAAAAGAAAAAAUCAUAUAUACUUUUUCCAUGCACAGCGGGAAACAGAUUUAACAUUCUGGUAUUUAAAAAGCGAAAACUCUAAUCAGUGCUUUUACUCUUCUUGCUAUGACAAAAAGUAUUGACAAAGUAUAUACCGCAUGUCUAGGCCGCUUUUAUUUCUACCUUCAGUAACCCACAAUCAUUUUAUAGAUCUUUUAGUAAACAAAGAGUCACACUCUUUUCACGUGUAGCAGAAAACAGAACUACAGGAUUAUAAAAUUUAAACAACAAAAUUUCUAAUAUGAUGCUUCUACUUCUGCUGGUGUUGCAGAAUAUUUACGAAAGAAAUUAUAAAAGUUCUAUUCAGAUAACACUUAAUUUGUGUAACGGUACGAUACGCUGUAACACAUAUAGGUUGGGAUAAGGUAUACCCAUGUUAGUGGUGGGGCUAUGGCUAUUGUAUGUGGGGAGUGGGGAAUUUGCAUUGGUGGAUGCGGCAACAAGAUGAAGAGGCUAUGCAUUGCACAAAAAAAGCAAUAAUAUAUGGGCCACUACAUAAUUGGUGAAAGAUGGAAAUGAAUCGGAUUCUCGCAACUGUUACCCACUCUUCUUCCCAACAAUAUUAUUGUUCUCUCUCCCCAAAAAAAAAUAUUAUUGUUCUCCAAAGCGUUUGGAUGGGGGUAAGGGGAGGGAUAACCCAUUAUCCUCUCCUUUAUACCCAAACGCAAAUUUUUUAUUCGAGAAUAGUAGUUCUCGAGUACCUGAAAUAAGCUGGUAUGAUUAUCUUCACCAUUAUUUUUCUUAUUUCAUAUUAUCUUAUCCAAACGCUAUUUUUUUUUAUCCCCGGCGAUAUGUAAUAGCUAGUUAUUGCUUAUACCCAAACCAAACGAUUUUUUUUUUUUGAGAGAUAGGUAGCACGCUACCCGCUUCGUUUAUUUUAUUUAUAAAUAAACUUAGCUGGAAAUGUGAAUCAACCAGAAUUCGAAUUUGGGACUUUGGGUACCAACCACCAAGCCCUUUGCCACUUGCUCUAGCGACGGUCGGUAACGAAGGCUAAAUUAGUACUCAAAAUAUAUAAGAUGUAGUCCUUAGAUAGUAUACUACACGUUUUAUUUAUAUUUUUUAAACAAAUAAAUUUAACUGAAAACAUAAUUAAAAUAACUUUAGUUCGAAUUUGUGAUCUCGAAUAACAACUAUCGAACUCUUGGUGGGUGUUUGGUUCCUCGAAAAGGCGUGAAAAAAAGUUUAGGAAAAUACUUUUCAUGGAAAGUUUUUUUUUUUUUUUUUUUUUUUUUUUUAGUUUUUCAUCUAUUUGAUUUUAAGGAAAACUAAUUUUCUUGAAAUUUUGUUUUCAUAUUUUAAGAAAAAUUAAUGUUUUCUUUUUCCAUUUUUUUUAGGAAAAUGAAAAGGCUAGUUUGUUAUAAUAUUUGAAACUAAGCCUUAUAAAAGAACCAGUUUUUCUUAUAAAUAAACAGACAGAAAACUGGAAAGGAGUUUUCCAUAAAAUAUUUUUUUCUCGAAAUUUUUUUUUUUUCUAUACUUUUGUAGAGAAACCAAAUAGCCCUUUGUCACUUGUGUCAAAAUAUGUAGUCCUCUUUUGUAGGAUGAUGAAAUAGGGUUAAUUUGCAUAAGCAAACUAAGACAAGUAUUUUGAUAGGAGGGACUGGGGCUUCGAUAGAGAGCUUGGUUUCUUCGGAAAUCGUAGAAAAACUAUUUUUCGAAAAAAAAAAUUUAUGGAAAGUAAAUUUUUCAUGAUUUUUAUUUUUCGAAUACAAAAUUUAAAAAACGAAAAGAAUUUUUUUUCACAAAAAUUGGCAAGAAAAUAUUUUGCUAGAAAAACUACUUUUCUGAGAAUCAAAUGGACGGAAAAUGUUUUUUCAUCCCGAAAACUAUUUUCUAAAAUAUUUUUCGAAAAACCCAGCACCCCUCUAAGUAUAAACAGAUGAUAAAACUUGGAAUGUUAUGUAGACUAUGAAGUUCUUCAAAUUAGAAAAGUGAAAUUUGUAAUGUGUUUUCUUUCUAGUUUGCUUUGUUUUUCUAAUUUUUUUUUUUUUUGUAGGUCCAUAAAAUCUAUAAAACCUCCCGUAAAAUCUAUAGUAAUGACCCCAAAUGGCAAUUUAGGCCUCAUUUCUAAACACAUAUGUGAGGGCUGGAUCGAACACAUAAUCUUUUCAAUGGUUAAUCCAGAUAACAAACACUAAGCAAACUACUAAUUAGUAGUUGUCAUUAAAAUUCAGGGUUAAUUUCUUCAAUACUCCUCUAAAAGAGUGUAAUUUUACAGAUGUGCGCGCUACUCUAAAUUUGAAAACAUUAUUAGUGUUUUUAUGUAUAGAAAAGGAUUUAAGAUUUAGGCUUAGGAUUUGGGGUUUAGAGGUGUAUUGGCGAUAUUUUAGGUUUUGGGUGGGUAUUUAUGAUAUUUUGAAGUUUUAGAAGAUAAGGUUUGAAAUUGCCCCUAACAAUAAUAGUGCAUUGAAGUGGCCAAGAAAAAGUCGUAAAAUGAUUUUUAUUUUGCGGGAUAGAGUAUAUAUAUAUAUAUAUAUAUAUAAAAGAGAAGGAGACGGAGAUAUGCUACUUGUACAACCAAGUAUUGGUGGUAGAUCUUACAUUCAAUUUAUCCAAGAAUUUAGAGUAUUAAAAAAAUAUAAGAUAUGAUAACAAUAGUGUAAAUUUUUUUUUAAAAAAGACUAUUAAAUGAAGAGGGCAUAGAAUCAGCCCCUACUUUUGAUGUUUAGAUAGUAUUGUUCUACGAGAAGAGUAUGUCUUCCGUGCUUUCGAAAGUACGGAGGCCUCUAUACUUGUAAGUUUUUUUCGACGAUAGAACAUCCAAUUCGACGAUCAGCUUCGUUAGGCAUAAUCUAUGCUAUUGGAACUAUCUAGAAACCAAAUUUUAUAAUUUUUGGACAUCAUUUACCAAGCGAUCACAGGAUCUCAAAAAUGACUAUUUUAACGGCCGAUGUGGCACGUUUUUAAGUUCAGCGGUGUAGAAGUAUCAAAAUUACAUGAAACUUUAAUAGAAAAUUCUACUUAAUAUCAAGAGCAAGAACAAUACUUCCGAUUUGAAAUUUGAGUUAUUUAUCACUGUCUUUUAUGAGAUUUUUAUUUUCAGCUGUUCAUUUUGAGGCUACUCGUUUACUAGGCAAAAGAAGUCAAAAAAUUAUGAAAUUUGGUUUCUAGAUAGUUCCAAUAGCGUAGAUCAUAUUUAACGAAAUCGAUCGCCAAAUCGGGCUUCCCAUCAUUGAAAAUAACUUAUAAGUACGGAGGCCUCCGUACUUUCGAAAGCAUAGGAGCCUAGCUUCUACGAGAAAAUUGAUUUGCUUCAACUAUUCUUCCCCAUGCGUGUUAGGUUGGCUUUGAAAUUGGUAACUACAUUUAAUUUUUGGAGAGAGUCCAGAUUGUCAGAAAAUGGAAGAACUUUUUCGGCCAUGCACCUUUCACUUCUGGAUUUUUUCGUCGGAUUGUUGUACGUAACUAUCAUACCUGCGUAUGCGCGCAUUUAUUAGUAGAAUUUAGGGAUUAGGACUACGGGUUUGUUCCGACUCUCUGUUGCUUCUUUCCAACAUCAAAAAAAAAAUGCCUAUUUAGUGGGAGCAAUCUUAGUAAGCUUUGUCUCCUUUUAUCUUUCCCUUUUUCUUUCUCUCUUAUUACUAUUUUUGUCUUUUUUUUAAGGUCUUACUUUCUCAUUUUUAUAUGUAGUAUCCUUUUAUNUAGACUCUUAAAGAUCAUGUUAUAGUAUUCGACUUGGUGUUUCAUCUAAUUAUAUAUAUAUAUAUAUAUAUAUAUAUAUAUAUAUAUAUAUAUAUAUAUAUAUAUAUAUAAAAAAGGAUACUACAUUAUAGCUAAGUUUAUUUUUUCUCUAUGGAUGGAGCGGAUAGUACAGUACCUUUUUAUCAAUCAAGAAAAAAGAAAAGUUGUUUGGAAAAAUAAAAAGAUGAUCAAUAAUGCAAUUCACAUGUACGUACACUUUUUUAUUUUCUUGUUUAUAACCACAUGACUAUUCCUACCAAAAGGACUAAACGAUGUAAUCAUAGAGCCGCCCCUUAAUAACUACAAAACUUAAGUCUCCUUGGGCUCUAUUGCUGUUUUUUUUUAACAUACAAUUUCUAUAUGAAAUGGUGUAGAUUCUAAAUAAAAUAGUAUAAAUAAAAAUAAUAAAUUACUUACAAUUCUUAUAUUUUAACGUAUUUAUUUCAAAAUAAAAAAUAAAUAUUUAGAAUGCAAUAUCUUUUUGCUUCUAAAGCUUUUUGUUAAAAAAAAUCAUCAUCCGUCACUAAAUCAGAAUGCAUUGCAAACUCACUAACGACGACAACAAAUGGAUAUUUCAAAUUAUAAAUAUUAGUGUUUGAAAAAAACAUAAUGAAAGAAUUUUUUCACAUUAAUCCCAACACAUAUAUCAAUUAUUUUACAUAAAUUAUUGCCUACACAUAUUCAUUAAUUAUUUUUUCCAUCGCAUAUUUCAAUCCUACCUCCAUCAGUUACAACUUUUUUUAAAAUAAAAAAAAAUAGAUCUUUAAAUUGAAAGUAUGAGAUGGUAAAAUAAUGAUAAACUCGUAUGCACGAACGAAAAAAAUAAACUAUAUAAGUGCCAGCAAUAAUCUAAUGAAAAACCUAAACCAAAAUAUUUUUAAAAGUUCAAGGGUUAAUAAAUAAAUCUAACUAAAAAUUCAAGAUUUCCAAUGUCCAAAUCAAAAGUUUGGGAAUAAAAAAUUGACUCCAAGUUUGGGGACUUGUGGUGAAAUUUACCCCCAAAUUUUUGUUCAUAUAUAUAAAUGGUCUCCAAUCAAUGUCACAAAUUAAUAAUUGUCCUCAUGUAUGGUGUGGCUUCAUUGCCUUCACGCCAUAAGCUUUGAAUAAUAUUUUCAAUUGAGAUAAUACAUGCCUAGUGAUGAGAACAAAAUGACAAAAGAGAGAGAGAGAGAGAGAGAGAGAGAGAGAGAUGUUGAUUGGAAUCUUGCCACAUCCGCAUCAAUUAGUGAGAAACUAGUGAACGUAUCCGUGCGUUGCGACGGGUCGAUUCCAUAAAAAUAAAUAAAAUUAAAAAAAUAAAAAAAAGUAAUUGUUACAAUAAAAAUAAAAAAAUAAAAAUAUAAAGAGAAUAAAAAGAAUAAAAAAAUUAUAAGAAUAAUAAAUUAUAUUUAUAGCAGCAGCAAAAAUUGAGAAUUAAAAUAUCAUAUGCCUCAUAAUUUGAGUUGGAAAUUGCAACUCAUUAAAGUUUGAGAACUAAAGUUUCACGUGCCUGAUUUCAUUUAAGAAAAGAAUAUAUUAAACUAUCUAAUAAAUUUUAAACUGCCUAAUUGUUAAAAUUAAAAGUCGAUAAAUUAUAUUUUGAAUAUUUCAAAAUAUUUUAAAUAUAAAAUUGAUCACUCAUCAGGCUAUAAAUAUGACAUUAAAAUUUGAUAUUAAAAUCAGAAUAAAAACAUAUAUAACUUUUCUGAACUACAAACCAUUUUGAAUCAGCUAUCAAACCUUGCAAAAUAUUAUUUUUACCGUCUAACAUUUUUAUAUGUUUGAUUUGAGUCAGUUAAUGAUAUUUUGACUUCAAUCAUUUAACUUUACAGAUUUAAUUAGUACUUCAUAUGAUUUUCGUAACUAAAUUUAUUAAAUAAGAAAUUAACUUAAGCCCCAUCGAUCUUUCUUUUAUUUUUUAUUGCACAAUCUAUAUCUAAUUGAUUAAAAUUAUAAAACUAAAAUUUAUAUUUAAUCUAUACUAUCUAAGCUACAUAAAAAUCAUGUAUAAAUAAUUAUAUAUGUUAAAUUUUUAUAAUAAGAGAGAGAAAAAUUAAAUUAGAUUAAAAAAAUAAGUCCAAUUUCGCAUUCUAAAUCAGCGAAAAGAAAAAAAAUUUUAAAAAUUUUUUUUAAAAAAAACUUGUCCACACUAUCCGACCCCCUCAGGUGGGCCCCACACCCAUCCCCGACACCUGCCACCUGGAUCCCAACUGGGGAUUCAUAAAUUUAUAUAAGAUAUAAAAUAUAAGAUAUAAGAUGUCUCUUAAAAAUAUGACGAGAGCUACACUUUAAACUUUCGCUUGUUUGGCAUCUUUAUCUUUUUUUCCUUUUUUUUUUUUUUCCUUAACAUAAUUUGUCUGUAAUUGUAUGCAUUGCUGGAUGGUCUGUUUUCACCCGAGUCCCUGACCAUGUACUGAAACGACAACUUCUGAUGAAAAAAUCUAGAAAAGCCAAAAAAAAAAAAAAGAAAAAGAAAAGUAUUUUCGCGCUUUAAUUUUUUUCUUCGUCGCUGAACAUAUUAUACAAAAAUUAUAGGGUUAAUUGCAUAUAGUUUUCUGUAAAUAUAUCGAAUAGCAUGUAUAUUUCUACAGAGUUUAACUUUUCAUAUUGAUCCUUACAAAAGUCUUAACAUUUUUCAAUAUAUCCUUAUUGUUAGGAUCUGUUAGAAAAAUAUUGUUAACCAUCGAUAAAAUACAUAACUCUGGUUAGUGAAUGAGGUAAAUUGCCUUUUUUAUUCUUCUUAUAUUAUUUGUGAUGGUAGAAAUAAAGAAGAUGAUUGUUGGAGAUUUUUGGAAAGAUAUUUAUGUAUAAUUCUAAUAGUUAGGGCUUUUUGAGGGACACAUUUGUGAUGGCAAAAAUAUCAUUUUCACUUAUCUUCUGCUAAAAAGUCAAUAAUACUCUAACGGUAAUAAACUAGAGAAAUAAAUAUAAAUAUUAUUAGACUUUUGUGAGGAUAAAUAUAAAAAGUUAAACUUUGUAGGGAUAAUUUACUAUCCGAUAUGUUUAAAAGAAGCUAUGAAAUAGCACUAAAUGAGACCUGAGUUUCGAUUUGGUAUCAUCAUUAAUUUUUUUUAUAAUUACUUUCUUAUAAUAAGAUUUUGGUAGAGUUGAUACAUUUGUGUAGAAUUGUUUAGCAGCAAAACACUGAAUUAAACCUUAGCAGUAACUUCUUUUUUAAUUCUUCUUGUAAAUUCUUUAAAAAAAAUAAUUUUUGGCUUCAUGCCCAACGUUAAUGGAAGUUACCCAAUGACCAUAAAAAUUAUAUUAAAAAAAAUUAAAUUAUAGAAAAAUUUCUUAUAAAUACUUUUUUUUUUUUUACUUUUUCUAACUUCGAAAAAUUUAUAUUUUUUUCCUUCCUUAAUAUUUUAAGUUGUUGCAUUUAACCCCCUUUCUAUCAGGGUUCCAUUAUUAUAUAUUUCGUCUAUUUUUUAUAAUAUAUACCGAAAAUAUCCUGCAAAAUGAUAGAAAUAUAUUAAAAAAAAAUUUUCUUAUAGAAGAAAUAAGGUCAAUUUAGUCAUUUUAUUCUCUCUAUUAAUGCCAUACCUUUCUGUAAACAUUUUUAAAAUUUUAAGAGAGUAAAAUAUAGAUUUUUGAAAGUCAAUGAGAGAAAGUAAAAAGCGGGUAUUUACAAAGAGUUUUCUGUAUUUUAGCCUUAAAAAAAUCGAUCUAUGGAACAUUAAUUCGACCACAUAGAUAUAUGUUUCUUUCUCAUAAAAAUGACAAUAAUUUUAAAUGAGGACCAAGUUUCUUUUGAACGUAACCUUAUUAACUAGUCGACCAUAGUUUGAAUUUGAUUGAGGUAAAAGAGAAAUUACAAACAUGUGACUCACAAGUUUUGGUUGAGCCCAAAACACAACAAAAGCAAAAAAAACAAAAACAAACAAAAACAAAUUGAAAUAAAAACAAAGACAAGAACAAAAACAAAAAUAGUACUACCAAUACAAUGAUGUAACAUGUCAAAUAGGUGGGUGCAAAAUUAAAGUUAGUGGACUGACCACAUUCAAGUGUCAAAUAAUUCGGUGAUUGAUAUUCGAGUUUUUAAGUUCAAAACCUAGUUGUUUUAUAUUUUGAGCUAAGUUUAUUUCUAAAAAAAAUAAAUGAACGGAGCUGGGUGGUCCAUCCACGCUGCGUGCCUGCAUAGGCGUUUGCGUUUCCCCCCACAUGACGUGCAUCUGACUCCCUUCUCACCAAAUCAUUUUUUUAAUUGAAAAAUAUAAAAAGAUAAGGAAAAAAAAAAUCUGUACACCCCAUAUCGAGAUGUAAAAUUUACACCCAUUAAUAUAAUUGAUUGAUGUGAUAAGUAAAAGAAUCGCAUCUAUGAAUCGGUGUAAAUCGUAUCCACUGAAACGGAGUACUGUAUGAAUAACAUUGCUCAAUAGAUAAAAGUAGUCUCCUUUUAAUUUCUAAAAAAUUUUCACAUUUUUUAAGUUUUAUUUUUAAUUUAAAAGUAUAUAGAACAAAUAUAUUUUUAAACAAUUUAAUCUUUUUCACUUUUAUCUUUUUUUUAAAAAAAAUUAAAAGUGAGCUCUUUAUAUGUAUGCUGCUCUCUAGCAUUAAUUUUUUUUUAAAAGAAAUUAUUCUUUAACUUCUAGCUUUUUAAUAUUUUGAUGAACUAUACUUUUGGUCCUCAAAUUAUGAGACUUGUAAUUUCUGAUUCGAACUAUCUGAAUUGUUGCAUCAAGUCCUACAACUUAAUUUAGCUGACUAAAUAUUAAUAUGUCACUAAUCAAAAAGUAAUAUAACUGUGUUGACAAUGAUAAUUAAGAUAUUACACAAAUUUCACAUCAGCAAAAUGUCAGUUCUUAAUUAAGUAAUUUAAAUUAUUUGACUUGAUUGUAAUAAUUUAAAAACUUCGAGUCAGAAAUUGAAAUUUGAGAACUAAAAUAUUACACACCUCAUAAUUUGAAAGAUUAAAACACUAAAGUAAAAGGAUUGUAAAUAAAAAAAAACAAUAAAGCCAAAGGAUUGUUAACUACCCGGACUUAUUCAAAUGAAAAAAAAGAAAAUGAAGGAUUGUUAAUAAAAAAAAACCCAAAUGAAGGAUUGUUAAUUAAAAAAAUUUAAAAAAACCCUAAAGCCAAAGGAUUUGUUUUAAAACGAGCUAUAGUUCAAAGGUCUCCAUAUCCUUUUACAAUAGAAUAAUGGCUACCAUAGAAGGACUAUUCUCUUCAUAAUUUAUGUUAUAAAAUUAAAAUCUACUUUAAACGUUGUAAUUUCACUACAACAAAAACGGUCUAUAGCGACACUUUUAAAUAUCGGUAAAGGUCAAAAAAAGUGUUGCUGGCUAAAUUACCGACGCUUUUAAAAAGUGUUGCUAAAUGUGGAGUCGCUAGAUAUAUAGUGACAGUUAAAGAGUGUCGCUAUAAUCUAAAAGAGUACUGCUAAUUUACCAACACUUAUUUAAGCAUUUAGCAAUUGCCGGAACUCCACCUUGUUGGCUGCGGUGGUGGAGGAGGACGAGAGGGAAGGGCUUUUCAUCUAAGAUUGCAGUGGAUUGAGUGAUCUGGAGAAGGAGAGAUGGUAAUCGAUUUUUUUUUUUCUUUUCUUUUCUGUUUGUAAUCGGGCCGAAUGGGCUACGUGGGGUGGGUUGAGUAGUCUAACCUUCUAUUUUUUAUUGGAUUGGGCUUUAUAUUUAGACAUUAGUAGAUUUCUUUUUAAGUUUCGGCAUAAAUAAGACACUUACACAAAAGUGUCCCAAACAUGUGUCCCUAUAACCUAAUUCUGUUGUAGUGUUUAUAAUGACAAAAAAGUCCAUGAAUAAAAAAUUUAUAUACGUUGAAAAUUAAAUUUGUAG